AGAAAAAACCGCGCGUGACAGCAAUAGCCAUGUGUCAUAUGAACACAUCUGAUUGGGACACGCGGUGCUCUGAGCUGUUGGAUGGAGAGCGUGGCGAACCUAUUUGGCACUACAUGCCCACCAAUUACAUCAUGUUCUAUUAGAUAUAUUUAAAGUUCAUGUUCAACUAUGUAAUCUUGUUAUCUUAUCAAUAAAGCGUGUCGAGUGGAUGGAUGUUUGUUAAAAAAACUAAUCACCACCAAAAUCUGGGAGUCUUUUGACUGCUACACACCAAUAUUUUCUUUUAUUGCAUCCCAAAAAACUCCAGUUUGAUUAAUUGUAAUGUUGCACUUGGGAAUUAUUAUUUUUGGAUUUUGGUCUCUCAAACGAGUCGUACCUGGCUUCUGCUGCCACAUCACUAGCCAAACAGAGGCGGAUUCGUGCCAUCCCAGCCACCACUGGUGAAGUAUCCUCACCAUCCCAGUCACUGUCAUAGGUGGAGAUGAUUUUAGGAGAAGAAGGGACCACCGGUCAUCCUUGAACCAUCCCCACCACCACAUAUGCCCCAUGGGGUGGCGCCGCCAGGGAAACAAGAGAGGAAGAUGUGUAGUCAAGAGAGACAUGCUAGACGGGGUAGUGAGUGAGGGGUUGUGGUUCUGUGUUGUUCCGCCGAUUUAUAAGAAUCGUCACAUUUUGGGUCUAAAGGGAAUAUUCCCUUUAACAUAACUAGGAAAGUGGCCCACUCGAUGCGCGUGCUAAGAUUGAAUGAAGUUAAAUUUUGAGAAUAUAUUAUGUAAUUUGUCCAUAGGUUUAAGGUAAAUGUGAUUACAUUUUCAAGUAUUAGAAUUUUGCGAACUAUUUUUUCCUUGUUAUAUUUUUCUUUUUAUUGAUAUAUAAAUAUAUGUCAUGUAUGUUCAUCCUUUACUUAAUAAUUAUGCACGGCAUACUAACUGUAGUUUUAUCAUCGACUGUAUCUUUCAAAUUAUAUUUGUAUACUUAGUCUUAUAAUCCACUGCAUUAUUCAAAUUAUAUCUGUACAUUUUUGCUAAAAAAUUGUGAUGUUGCUUAGUUGUUUUACAAAUAGAAAUAUAUUACUCCCUUUAUUCCAUAAUGAAUUUGUUUCUAUAGAGUGCUCAAGAGUACUAAGGGUGAGCGUACUGUGGUAAAAAAAAUACCAAAUGUGCACACUAUGAGAGCAAAAUUAUAUAUAACGUUAAAAUAUAAGCCACCCUUGGUAUAUUUUAGCUAUCACACCAAUCCGUUAUUCUUAUUACCAAAGAACCUUGAUAUAUAUUCCCACAAAAAAUAUGAGACACACGCACUAAGUUGCAAGGUGCAUAUACUACAAAGCGUCAUUAGUUUGAUGGCCCCACCAGUAUUCUUGUUCUUGACUUCUCCUCCUCUUUGCCCCACUCAUGUUCUCACUAAGUGAGAUGUUUCAUCUCCCCUGAUCCCCUCUAUAGUAUUUCCCAAAAUCUUUCUUCUCACUCAAAAAUUGCUUCUGCUAGAUAGAGCCCAUCAACUUCGUUUAUUGCUGCAUUGAGAUGUGUCUUCCUCACCUGGAGCCACCACCGUAACUGGUUCAGGCACAUGUUAAACAUGGACAACAACUUGUUUGUGUCUUCGUACGCCUCAUCAGUCACCUAGGCUAGUAAAGGGCGGCGACGUUGUCCGUGUAGUUGCUUUGGUCGUUGAUUUCAUCUCCCACAAACUUGCAGCUCUCCUGGAUCUAUCUUGAGUAUGAGGAUGCCGGCUACAUUUUCUUUCACAAGCGCUCAAGGUAGAUGCAUCAUCUCUAUUUGUGCUCGAGGUAGCUUGGCACAUCAUCCUCAUCCCCCGUAGCGAACAUUCUUCAAGGUUUGGCCUACAAGUGUAAUCAAUGGAAAGCCAAUUAGUUGUAAAUUUUCAUAAAUUGUCUUUCUGGUCUUGGUAAAACAUGUGAUUUCUAUAAAUGGCCUAUAAGUGUUGAGUGAGGUAUAGAGUAGCUAGUAAUAAGUUCAUAAAUUUUUGAAAAUGUAAUUAUAUGUAUGAGCACACAUACCAAUCCAAAUUAGUACUAUAUCUACAUGGUAAUUGUAUAUUUUUGUAUAGUUACUGCUCUUGUUUUUUAUUUGUUUAACUAUGGCUAAGUUACUAAUUGAUGAUAGUAAGUUUGGAAUGUGAAAUAUCCUACAUCUUAAGGUAUAGUGUUAAUUUGCUAAUGCCCCCUCCACUUUUUCCAGGCUUUGGGACCGGCAUUGGAAGUUUUAGGCCCCCUACCCCUAUUAAUAUUCAACAAAGUUAAGAAACUUUAGUACAUUUGUGAUUAGCUAUAGUUUAAAUAAUUCCUAGAGAAGACUAAAUAUAUAACAAUUGAAUAUCAAAACAAGUAUGAUUGCAUUGUACAUAUGAAUUAUAAUAAUUAACUGAUGCUCUCACUAUUUGUUUGCAUUACAUACUAAGCUUGUAGAAUCAAAUAUCACAUUAUAGUUUGCCGAUGUUUGGUAGUAAUGAACUAUUUCCAAUUGUUGAUGCAUGUUUGCAAUAAUUCGCUAACCAAAAUUAAUAUUUAAUAGCCUAAUAUUUAAACAGGUCUGAUUUCAUUGUACAUGUGAAAUAGAACAAUGUCCCGAUGCUCUCAAUAUUGGUAGUAAUGAAUUAUUUUGACCUCAUUGCUAUCUUCAUCAUUUACCACUACCCGUACUCCAUCCAUUUAUGUUACUCUUGAGAAGGGGAUGGACUAUAGGUAAUGGUAAAUAAUGAAGAUAGCAAUGAGGUUGAAAUAAUUUAUUACUACAAAUAGUGAGAUAUCUGGCACAUGCAACUGAAAGUAGUAAUAUGUGUGAUGCUACUAUGUAAUAUCAACCAAAGUGCAAGAUAUUACAUACUAGCAUCACACAUAUGACAACUUUUAGUUUCAGCUUGCGAGUGGGAAUUCCAGGAAAUGGUAAGAUGUUCAUGAAUUCUGGUCGAUACAACAAUUCCAUUUCUGCAUUAAAGGUAGUUUCUUUGUAUAGAUCCAUUAUAUAGUCAUUUAUAAUGUGAACUGUUUCAUUUAUUCUAAGUAUCCGUGUUGGCGAUACCUCUCCCAUGAAUUGGGAUUUUUUUCGAUCAUUUCCUUUCCUGAGUAGUAUAUCAUUUGGUAUUUUUAUCAAUUGCUCACCUUCUGAUGAAGAAUUUUUUUCACCCAAUAUUUAGAAUCCACUCUAAAAAUUCGGCUGCCCUUUUGUUUCUCUAAUUCAUCAUGAGUUGUGCAGUUCAAUCGCAUGUUAAUGGAUGCGGUGACUAUGUUCUUUGUUAGCUUCAUUAUAUGGAAGUGCUUCUGAAGAUAUCACCUAUUAAUGGAUGCGGUGACUAUGUUGUGUCUUGUUCCCUUUGGUCCAAAAGGAUCACUACAAAAAAAGACACAUCCAUGGCAUUUUGGCCCGAACGAAAAAAAAUGAUGUCAUGCUUAUGAGAUUUCUAUGACGAUAAUUAUGACAAAACACAGUAUCAGCAUAGAUGUGGUGGGCUCCUACUUUUAUGACAAAAGAUCAUGACAGAAAAUGGGGUUUUCAUACUGGGCGGGGCAGUGACGCACCUGCAUGACAUUCUUUGGGCCGUCCACGACUGAAAAAUCAUGGUAGAAGCGAGGGCGAGGAAAAUUUCGGGGAGUUCCCAGUUACGGUGGGUCGUCGGGGCCGAGUGAUGCACAAAGGGAUUGCGUGUUUCUCUCAUACACGUACGUGCGUGUGUGUGAGGCGUUGGGCUCUAACUGAACCCGGUCGAGGCGUUCGCUUACUGAACCCGAGCGCUUGCACUAGCUACGUUACCGAACCCGAGCGAUCAAUCCCUAGCUGUUAACUAAACCUGAGUGAUUCCUUCGCUACUGCUGCUAACUGAAGCCGAUUGAACCUGCUUCCUCUUGAUGAAUAGUGACCAUUGUUGGGGGUUGGAUGAACAGUUCGCGAUGGGGGUUGGAUGAACAGGACCCCAUGGUAGUAGAGGCCGUUGCCGCUGGAUGAACAGGACCCCGAUCGAGGAGGCUGGUGGAGGGUCGAUGAACAAGACCCCGUCGAGGGCUCGUUGAAUAGUAGCCGGUGGAGGUUGGAUGAACAGGACCCCGUGGAUGAACAAUAGAUGGUGGAGGCUGGAGGAAGUCAACGGUGCAUGAACAGUAGCAGGUGGAUGCUGGAGGAAGUCGAUGGUGGAUGAAAAGUAGCUCGUGGUGGCUGGAGCGAGGCAGUCGACGAUGGAUGAACAGUAGCCCGUGGAGUCCUAUUUUGCGGUACGCCACACCCCUCCCGAUGAACAUGACCCUGUUUCGACCGUAGGCGAUCCAAUACAAGUCCGUUUCCUCCGUUUUGUGGUAUGCCACACCCCUCCCGAUCAACAACACCCCGUUAAAAAUGUAUGCACUCGAACACAAGUCCAUUUGCUCUGUUCUGUGGUACGCCAGACCUUUCCCAAUGAACAGGACACCGUUUUGACCUUACGAGGUCAAACAGAAGGCCAUUUCCUUCGUUCUAUGGUACGCCAGAGCUUGUUUCGGCUGUUCCAUCCAAGCCGGUUGGCUCCCGAUGAAAACACGACGCUGUUUACUCUGUUCCAACCUAGCCGGUUGGCUGCCGAUGAACACGACACUGUCACUGUAUGCAUUAGAGACCCCACACAUAUGUACGUACGUAGCCAUAUUUACUAUCUUGUAGCAUGGUUGUAUGUACGUGUACACGAUAUAGACGGGACUGCAUGCAUGCUAUGUCAGCGCCUCUACUUCAACACGUGUUGCUCCUUACAUGGCCAUGGUACGUCGCUGCAGAGAGACCGUUCGACCGCUAUGUACGUACACAUUCUUGGCUAGACAGAUAAUGCUACCUUCGCUUCAACCUGGUGGGUCCCAUCUGUCAGGGGGUAAGAAGUCACUUCCUUUUGUGUGAAGGUAAAGCCGGUGGGUCCCAACUGUCAGGGGGACAUUUUUUCGCGAAAUACAGAGGCCCUUCCGGUGGGUCCGAGCUGUGAGGUGGAGGAAUCAUUAUUUUGCGCGUAAUAAGGAGGCACUUGCUUGCAUGUGGCAAUGGACCUAGUUGUCAGCCUCUCCACGUACAGUCCUCUUCUGAUGCCUGUCAUUCCAUGACCGCGUUGACCAUGCCAUGCGAAGAGCACCCAGGCGGUGGACGAUGGUGAGGCAAGGAAUGACGCGGAGCCCGAGAACACGCGGAGGGUAGUAUGAUGGUUGACUGGUUCAGCUGCGGCAUGAGGCUGUCGUCGCUGCAGAAUAGCAGGGGGUGUGGGUGAGUAGAGGGAUGGCCUGGCCAGCGGUGGGAGUAGGGUGGGGCGGUGAGGCUUGCGCGGCUACACAACCGUCCAUGGAGGCAGGAACAGGCGGUCCCGCCAACGCUGAUUUGCGCGGCUGGUGCAAGAAGAUCAGAUAUUGAAGAAGCAGCGGGACCGUUCGAUUAAAAUCUAAUGGUCACUGUUGCUAGAGUCAUUUGUUGACUAAGUUGAUAAAGCCCUACGUGCACGUCAACUUAGUAGACCCACAGGCCAGCCUCCGAACCGGUGCGCCGAAGAUGUCAGUGGGAGGAAUCAUUUUUUUCGCGUAAUAAGGAGGCAGUUGCUUGCAUGCGGCCAAGGACCAUGGGGGUCCCUAUUGUCAGCCUCUUGACAUACAUCCUUGAUGAAGAUGGCGCAUAGCCAGACUAUAUGAUUUUGUAGGGAUAAGCUUUCUUUGGCCAUGUUAUUUUGAGAAGACAUAAUUAUUUGUUAUAUGCUUGAAGUAUUAUUGUUUUUAUGUCAAUAUCAAACUUUUCUUUUGAAUCCUACAGAUCUGAACAUUCAAGCUACAAUAAAGAGAAUUACAUGGAUAAAUAUCUUAGGUAGCAUUCCACAUCAAAAAUUCUGUUUUUAUCAUUUACCUACUUGAGGACGAGCAGGAAUUAAGUUUGGGGAUGCUUGAUACGUCUCCAACGUAUCUAUAAUUUUUUUAUUGUUCCACGCUAUUAUAUUAUUUGUUUUGGAUGUUUUAUAUGCAUUAAUAUGCUAUUUUAUAUGUUUUUUGGGACUAACCUAUUAACCUAGAGCCCAGUGCCAGUUUCUAAUAUUUCCUUGUUUUAGAGUUUCACAGAAAAGCAAUACCAAACAGAGUCCAAACGGAAUAAAAUUUUCGUGGUGAUUUUUCUUGGACCAGAAGACACCUAGGAGACUUGGAGUGCAAGUCAAAAGAGCCACGAGGGGGCCACAAGGGUUGAGGGCGCGCCCCCGACCUUUUGGGACCCUCGAUGACCCCCUGACCUAGAUCUUCCUCCUAUAUAUUCUCAUAUACCCUGAAAACUUCCAGGAGAGCCAUGAAGCCACUUUUCCACUGUCGCAACCUUCUGUAACCAUGAGAUCCGAUCUAGGGACCUUUUCCGGCAUCCUGCCGGAGGUGGAUUCGAUCACGGAGGGCUUCUACAUCAACACCAUUGCCUCACCGAUGAAGCGUGAGUAGUUUACCACAGACCUACGGGUCCAUAGCUAGUAGCUAGAUGGCUUCUUCUCUCUCUUUGAUUCUCAAUACCAUGUUCUCCUUGAUGUUCUUGGAGAUCUAUUUGAUGUAAUACUCUUUUGCAGUGUGUUUGCCGAGGUUCGAUGAAUUGUGGAUUUAUGAUCAGCUUAUCUAUGAAUAUUAUUUGAAUCUCCUCUCAAUUCUUAUAUGCAUGAUUUGAUAUCUUUGCAAGUCUCUUCGAACUAUCGAUUUGGUUUGGCCAACUAGAUUGGUUUUUCUUGCAAUGGGAGAAGUGCUUAGCUUUGGGUUCAAUCUUGCGGUGCUCGAUCCUAGCGACAGAAGGUGAACCGACAUGUAUUGUAUUUUCGCCAUCGAGGGUAACAAGAUGGGGUUUUCAUCAUAUUGCUUGAGUUAAUCCCGCUACAUCAUGUCAUCUUACUUAAUGCGUUACUCUGUUGUUAUGAACUUAAUACUCUCGAUGCAGGCAAGAGUCGGUCGAUGUGUGGGGUCAUAGUAGUAGAUGGAUAAUCGUUUCUGUCUACUUGACAUGGAUGUGAUGCCUAUAUUCAUGAUCAAUGCCUUAGAUAUCGUCAUAACUUUGCACUUUUCUAUCAAUUGCACGACAGUAAUUUGUUCACCCACCACAAUAAUUUCUAUCUUUCAUAGAAGCCUCUAGUGAAACCUAUGGCCCUCGGGUCUAUUUUCCAUCAUAUAAGUAUCCGACCAGGGCUUGUGUACAUCGAGAGGCAACGGACGGCAGCAACGGCAUCCUGUUCAUCGGGCAUCAAACCGGCUAGGUCAGAACGGAGAAACAUCGUCCUGUUCAUCGGGAAACUACCGACUGGGUCGGAAUGCGUCCUGUUCAACGGGAGCCAACCGGGUUGGACGGAAUAGCCGAAACGGGGUCUGCUGUACCGCAGAACGGAGGAAACGGCCUUUUGUUUGAUCGGCCACGGUCGAAACGGGAUCCUAUUCAUUGGGAGGGGUCUGGCGUACCGCAAAACGGAGGAAACAGACUUGUGUUUGAGUGCCUACGGUUGAAACAGGGUCCUGUUGAUCGGGAGGGGUGUGGCAUACCGCAAAACGGAGGAAAUGGACUUGUGUUGGAGUGCCUACGGUCAAAACAGGGUCCAGUCCAACCACUGUCUACUGCCUCGCUCCAGCCUCCACGGGCUACUUUUCAUCCACCGUCGACCUCCUCCACCCUCCAUGGGCUACUAUUCAUCAUCGACUACUGUUCAUCCAGCCUCCAUCGGCUGGUGUUCAUAGAGCCUCCACGGGGUCCUGUUCAUCCACCCCCAACCGGCUGGGGUGCGGUGGCCUCCUCGUGGUCUUGUUCAUCCUGUGACAACGACCUACUACCACAAGGUCCUGUUCAUCCAACCCCCACCGGGAACUAUUCAUCCAUAGCCAACCACUCGGCUCGACUCACCAUGUCUCGACUCGUUCUACGUACAGCUCGCACGGUAGCAACAGUCACUGUUCAUCGAGAGGCAACCCAACACCGGCUGGCUAGCUAUGUCUCGCAUAGGGGCUCGAUCAGCUUCAGUAAGCAGCAACAAUGAUCAAUCGCUCGGGUUCAGUUAGUAGCAACAGCGAAGGAAUCGCUCGGGUUCAGUCAACAGCGAGUGUGUCGGAGUAAGUGGCCACGGGUAGCCUAGUCGGCUCCCCCUGGCCUUUCUGAAAAAAUUAGGAGCCGAUCCGGCUCUCAAGAAUCCAAGACAUGGGGCCGCCUUCCCGUGGCCGGCUGUCUCCCAGGCCGGCUAUUGGAAGGCGGCCCGAUUUCAGCCCUCAUGAAGAAAGCCGCGGGAGGGCCGGCACCGAGGAGCCGGCUACGAGAAGGCCGACUCCAAGGAGCCGGCUCCCAUAAAGUGGUCAAGACCGUACCCUCGAAGUCUGCAUCCGCAUAAUGGCGAUGUGACGAGGCGUGGCUACAGUGAAGCCUGCCACCGCUGAAUCCCGGAGCGCGCCUGGCACAGUGCGCCGUACGGGUGGCCAUGACCCGUCCGGCGCAGCACUGUUGCCACGUUGACCCUGAUGUCAUCCACGACGGGCUACCAGUAUGGCCCACGGGCGGUGGGCCCCUUCGGGCAGAGAGACACCCGAAGGCGGCCUGGCCUCCCCCAGUCGGCCCAAGACGGAGCCGGCUCUCUCCAGCCGGCUUGCCACCCCCUCGAAGGAGACGCCCCAUUAAGGAGACAAGACGCGGUGAGGCUACAGUGGUCACCCGCCGGACGGCAGCACUGUAGAGACGCUUACCUCGGCGAAGCCCUCGUCACCAAGAUUGAGCAACAGUAACCAGCCACCGACAAGGCCCUGGACAGUGGGGCCUGCCUGUCGACCAAGGAGCCGGUAGCCGGCGGGACCCACCAGCCAGCGGGCCCCAGCAGCCGGUGCAGAAGCCGGAGAGCGAAGACACAGACGGCUCGGCCCCACGCCCAGCCGGAUUACCAUUGUACCCCCGGGGGUAGGCCUAUAUAAACCCCUCGGGACACCCAUGCCAAGAAGGGGUCCCUGCUAGUUUUAGACACCACGUAGGGAGGAGAAGAGAGCAAGCAGAGCCUUUCUUCCUCCUCUCGCCAAACAGCUCAAGGAGCAUCGUGUAGCUACUUGUUCAUCUAGUGAUCAUGCGGAGACCCCGCAGAGCAGCAGUAGGGGUGUUAUCUCCACGGAGAGCCCCGAAGCUGGGUAAGAUUCGCCGGCAUGCGUGUCUUCGCCUCAUCCCGUUUCCAGGCACCGGUGAUGUUUUACUGGCUCCCACAAUGAUAAGCCACCCAUUGGCAUAUGUUGCACCUACCACCCGACAUUUGGCGCCCACCGUGGGGCCAGGUGCACCGUCGUCCGGAGACCUAUUCUGGACGGGAACCCUCUUCCUCCCCCGCGAGCGUAGCCAGCCCGGCACGCCUGAUGGCGCUUGCCACGACGUGCUACAAGGCGUCACCAACAUCUGUGCGGCGAGCAGCCUCGCCAAUCUCCUUGACAAGACCCUCAUCUCUGAUGAGCUCGCCUCCGACGCGGGCACCGACCACCUCGUCAACCUCCUCGGCCGGCUCCAUGUCUCCGGCGAGCCUGUUGUGGACUUGGAGUCGGUUGGCUCCACCGAUCCGAUGCCUGUCUACUCCGACACGACCUCAUUCGACACCUUCCCCACCAACGUCACGAUCUACAACGACCCGCUUCCCUGAGCCGAUGGCUGCGACGCUGUCACCACCGAGGUGAUGGUCAUUGGCCACGACGGCGCUGCUGACGAGAGCGCCCACGACGCCCCGCACGCGGCGGUCCACGACUUGUCCAUCCCCCUCCCAGCCGACGUCGACGCUGAAGCACUAGAGGCUCGCCGCCUCGCCCUCCUCGAGGAGGGCCGGAAGUUGGUUUCCAUGAGACGCCUCGCUGAGGCCCACCGACGCGAGGCCGACCGCGCCGCCUUUGGCACGCCGCCCCCAGGCAGGCCCAGCCGGGUCGGCGUUGUCAGACAGCACGACACUGUCAUUGCCGACGCGUUAGGAGUCGACCGCCCAGUCUACGCCACUCCACUCGAGAACCUGCGCGCCGCCCAGGCGGCCGUAGACGAGCUAGACGGACUGGGGGCCAAAGAACUCCCCCACAUGACCCGACGCAUCCAGCAGCUGAUCGAUGCAGCCGCGCAGUGGCACGAAGCCGACGCCCGCGCGGAAGAGAGACGACUCCGGCAAGGAGUCGGAACGACCAUGGAACGCCAACCUCCUCCGAAGGUUUUACAGCUGAAAUGCAUUAUGUAUCACGCUAACUUUUGUACUAAGUACGAGAUAAUAGGGCCCCCGAGGAGAGCUCGGGGACUGCCAUCUUUUGUCUAUAAAUGAAAAGUAUCAUGCUUAUGGCCUUGUCAUUGCAUUCACUUUUUUCCGUCCGGCACCGGGUUCGACUAGUCGGCCCGGGGACUGGCCGCCUGGAGUUAUAUUAGAAGUCCUACCCACAGUCAGACAAGUAGUGUGCCGGCUCCCAAGCCUUCUCUUGCCAAAAGUCGCAGUUCGAAGAACCGGCUGUCCGGCUGGCAAGAGUUAAGGGAAGGAACGGGUGCCCACACGAAAAACGGCUAGGGACUAACGGACUAAUAUAACAAAAGCCGGUUUUUCUCCCACCGCCGACCGGCUACCAGAGUAGCCGGCCAGACGGCUUCCAUUCACCUCACUCCAAUCUAAGAAAGCUCGAGUACUUGCCUUCCCAGAAGGGGAAGGCGGCAAAGGAAACAGCCUAAGGAUAAAAAGCAUACGUGAAUGGAAACCAAACAUGCACACGACAAUAUUUACAUAAAAGACCUUCAAAAGGCCAGCAUUCAACAUAGUUCGGAUACACCCCCAGUGGGUGGAACUGCGGAAGCUUAAUAAAAUUGUUCAGAAGGCAACAAGCAGGAAAAAACAAGGACGACAGAUUAAGCCGGCGGAGCGACUGACGAGCCGGGCAGGUCGGUGGAGACGACAGUGCCGGCUAGAGGAGUGGCAGGCUGGCGAACCUCGGCACGAUCACCGCCUCCCGCAGAAGGCGCGCUUGCGCGCGCCUCGUUGCUGGAGGCACGGUCAGGCUGAGGCUGGCUGGCUGUUCCACCGGCCGGCUUGACGUCUUCGCUUUCUUCUCCUUCGUCAUCUUCGCCUUCGUCGCUGGAGGCGAUCUCUUCUGCCGAGUCUUCACCCGCCGCCGGGUCCAGCCCGAACCACUCCUCCGGCUGGGCAACGCCAUCAUCAUUAAUCUCGGGAGCGAAGACGCUGAUGUCAGUACACUUGGCGAUUGUCGAAGCGUGCUGAGCGAUAGCCGGCCGCACCUCCGCUAGCUCUUCGUCGGCCUCCAGCCGCCAGGUGCGCAGCUGGUCCAGGUUCAACCCCAGAUACCAAGCUCGGACGAACUCCAGCGACCGCCCAGCUCCAAGCCGGGCCGCCGACGCCUUCCAGGCCUCGAAGCGGCCAACCGCAGCCUCCAGCCAGUCGGCAGUCCGACUCGGGGUGCGGGGAAUCAUCUCGCUUGGCUAGAGGGCGGCCAACACAUGCGCUCCGGCACGCUGGAGGCGGCGGAGCAUACGAUGAGCCGGCUGCAGCCGCGCUUGGACCGCCAAGAGUUGCUUUUCGAGCGACCGACUCGCGUACGGCGCGACUUCAGCCCUCGCCUGCCGGCGCGCUUCGCGAUGGGCCUCGAUGGUUUGAGCGGUGAAGACGGAGUAGCCAGGAAAUUAGUCUGCACAGAGAAUAAAAAGCAGCUCAAGUCAGAACACAAGUCAGGCGGCAAGGGGCAGGCAAGGAGCGAGGAAGGCGGCUUACCGUCGAUCAAAUCCUCAAUACGGCCGAAGCCUUCAUUCAGCGCUUGCCUGGUCUCAGCCCAGCCCACCGCUUCAGUCUCGAACUCGGCCUUCAGGGCGGCUUCAUUAUCCUGCACCUUCUUCAGAGCCGCCUUGUGGCUCUUCUCCUGGUCAGCCAGCUUCUUGGCCAGGCGGUCACGCUCCAGGACCAAGGUGUCGUACUCGGUUUCCUUGUCACGAAGGGCGGCCUGCGCCUUGCUGAGCUGCCCCUUAAGUCGGCAUUGGCUUCUGCGAGCAUGAAAGACAAAAGAAAAAACCAGUAAGGUGAAGUCGUCAGGAAAGAUCCGACCCGACUACUCAGCAGUUGGCCCGAAUCUCGGGGACUACACCCAGUGGGUGCGCUGACGCGCCCCCACAGGAGAUGAAUGAAACCAAGUACGUACUCCGGCUGCUGAUCAGGUCUUCGGUUCUUCGACCCAGCUCCUGAGCCUGGGAGUUGAAGGCGGUAGCGCGGAGGUUAUGAUACUCCUGGAAGAUUAGAUAGGAAGCGAGAAUAAGGUAGUCAUCAAGGAAGAUCCGACCCGACUGCUCAGCAGUCGGCCCGAAUCUCGGGGACUACACCCAGUGGGUGCGCUGACGCGCCCCUGCGGAAGAAAUCAAGAGAACAAAGCAACCAAAGAUAGAAGACUCACCCGGAUGACGGCCCGCGUCGCAAGGAACUCCUGGGUGUAUUGCUGCAGCGAGGCGGCUUGGGCCUGAAGCCGAUUCUGAACCUCUUGGGCCGCCACAUUCAGCUCGCCCCUCCCGCCGCUGGGAGUCCACUCGGACAUGCCGGUGCUGGCCGCCUCCAAGGCCUCCGCCGUCUGGCCGGCACCCGUAGCUCGGUGCGGCUCCGGCGCAGCAGUGCCUCCCCCUGCGCGCUGGCGCAUUGCCGGCUGCACCUCGAGGCCGGCUCCUGCUUCCGGCUCACCCCCAGCCGGCUGCUCUGGCGCCGCAGCCGACUGGCCGCCUUGGCCCGCUCCGGUUGGCGCUGCCGGCGGCGCCCUCUCCAUGAAGAUCACGGAGUCCUCCCUCCGCUCCAUCACCGGCGGUUCUUGGUCGACCUCCUCCAGUGGAGGCACAGGAAUGUUGGGGGCCACGGUGUGGAGGGGAAUGGCUAGCAGCGGAGGCUGGUUGUGCAAAGCCUCCGCCUCCGUCUCCGCAGUUGCCGCCUCCGCCCGGCCCUUGGCUGCUGCAUCGUCCUGCUCCUUCGUCGCCUGGGCGGCCCUUCGCUCCGCCGCCUCCCGCUCCUCCCGUGCCUCUCGUGCGUUCCACUCCGUGGCCUCCCUGAGGUCGGCGCGGGGAUCCACGCGGCGGGAGCCUGAAGACCCUCUAGUCGGCCCGACUACGGAGCCGCCCAGACCCCGCUCAAGGGAAAGCGGCGCCCUGUCCGGCGAGCAAAGAAAGGUUUAGAAGAGUUUUCAAUCAAAAAGAAGAACAACAAAAAAUAUGUAUCCAAGCAUUCGACGACUUACGCUGAGAUUGCCUGCGGCUGCUUCACCGCCUUGCGGAAGUGGGCCGCCUUCGCGGCCGCCUCAUCUCGCUUGGUCACCGCUGUGGAAGCCUUGGACUUCUUUGGCCGGCUGCUGAAGAGGAUCGACACGGCCCGGCGCUUUUGGGCGCCGCCGCCAGCAGCCAGCGCGGCGGACGAGCUUGCGCCUUUAUGAUCAGGCGCCGGCUGGCGGUGCGGGGCAACUUCGACCUCGGCAUCAUCCGGCCAGUCCUCGAAGCUGGCCGUGAGCCCCGCGCCUCCGACCUCGUCACUUUCCCCCACGAUGGCGUCUUCCAUGGCGGCCGCUCCCAAGUCCGGGUCAUCGGCGUCGUCCACCGCGCGGUCAGGGACGAGCUGGCGCUCUACCCCUGCGGCCCCGGUCAUCGGCGGAAGGAGAGGGUUCUGCUAGGGGCAAACCGACUGAUUAGAGGCCGGCUAUCAUGAGGCCGGCUACCAAAAAAAGAAGAAAGAACUUACGACGGGCAGAGGGCUGGCGCGAGAGUACGGCCCCUUGCUGUACUGCCAAUCCUCGGCGAGCUUGCAGUUGGAGAUAUAGUUCACCAUGUAGGAGACCUCCGCAUGAGGCAUCUCCCUGGUGCUCAGCCGGCUUGGGUCGAAGCGGCCGCUCAUCUGACAAACCAUGUGAGGCCGGCUUUGGAGGGGAAGAACCCGGCGCUCCACGAAGGCGGCCACCAAGUCGGCUCCGGUCAGGCCCUCCGACUGGAUCAUCACCCGAAGCCGAGAGACGGCUGCGUUCCCGGCCUGAGACAACGACCUGGCCCAGUAGCUCCACGAAGGUCGCCUCCCAGCCGGCAGGCCGGCUUCAUAAGCCGGCAGGUUGACGUAGUCGCCUUGCUGCGCGACAUUCUUCACGUAAAAGUAUGACUUCUGCCAGAGCUUCACCGACUGGAUCAGCGGGAUGGGCGGGAACGGGUUGUUCUCGCCCGACCGCCUCAUGGCAAUAUAGGCUCCACAGGAGGAAGGCACGCCCGCGACGACGGUGCCGAGUUUGCUCUGGAAGAAUUCCGCCCAGAGCUCGAGCGUGGGGAGGACCCCAAGGAAACCUUCACACAGCGUGACGAAGGCCGACAGCAGCAUCACCGCGUUGGGCGUGAGGUGAUGCAGCUGGAGGUUGUAGAAUUCGAGGAAGGCUUGGAGGAACCCGCUCGCCGGAAGGCCGAAGCCGCGCAGGCAGUGCGAGCAGAAGAUCACCCGCUCGUCCUCCUCCGGUGCCGGCGAAAUCUCCUUCUCCGGCGCUAGACGAACCCGAACGAAGUUUUCCCCGGGCAGGCGUCGUGUUUGGUGGAGGAACUCGACGUGGUCCUCAUGGACGUUGGAGCCAUCCCACGAGCUUGACAGCGCCAUGGGGCAGUGCGGCGAGAAGCAAGACGAUGCGGCGGCGGAACGAAGCAACGCCGGGACGGCGUGGCAAAGAGCUGCUGCGGGGAAGAGAAGAAGAAGGAGGGCGAGAAGGGGCGGAGUGAGGGAGUGCGAGCGAGCCUCUGCCGCUCCCCCUCCUCCUCCUACUUAUAGACCACGCGGCGGAGCCGAGGAGGCACGGCGUGGGGGAACAUGGGGAUCAACUGCGCCCACUCCCCCAUGUCCUGUGAUUAUUGUGCCUUGAUGGCAGAAUAGAACCGCCACGGGAAGGCGAGCGGUCCAUGUGGGCCGCGGAAGAUCCGCGCUCGGACCGAGGCCUGCGAGUGGCGGGCCCGGGCCUGUGGCGGCGUCCCGUCGCCCGCGUACGUUGGCAGGAUUUCCUCGCCACGUGGCCCGCGUUCCCGCCUACGAGAAACGGAGCUUUUCCGAAGACGGCGCGCACAAGCAAAGCCGGCCCCUCAGGAUAGGAAGCUGACCAAGCUUCUCGUCCCUUUAUCAGCCUCGAAGCUCGCCCAGCUUCGGGGACUACUGUCGGAGUAAGUGACCACGGGUAGCCUAGUCGGCUCCCCCUGGCCUUUCUGAAAAAAUUACGAGUCGAUCCGGCUCUCAAGAAUCCAAGACAUGGGGCCGCCUUCCCCUGGCCGGCUGUCUCCCAGGCCGGCUAUUGGAAGGCGGGCCAAUUUCAGCCCUCAUGAAGAAAGCCACGGGAGGGCUGGCUCCGAGGUGCCGGCUGCGAGAAGGCCGACUCCAAGGAGCCGGCUCCCAUAAAGCAGUCAAGACCGUACCCUCGAAGUCUGCAUCCACAUAACAGCGAUGUGACGGGGCAUGGCUACAGUGAAGCCUGCCACCCCCGAAUCCCGGAGCGCGCCUGGCACGAUGCGCCGUACGGGUGGCCAUGACCCAUCCGGCACAGCACUGUUGCCACGUUGACCCUGAUGUCAUCCACGACGGGCUACCAGUACGGCCCACGGGCGGUGGGCCCCUUUGGGCAGAGAGACACCCGAAGGCGGCCUGGCCUCCCCCAGUCGGCCCAAGACGGAGCCGGCUUGCCACCCCCUCGAAGGAGACGCCCCAUUAAGGAGACAAGACGCGGUGAGGCUACAGUGGUCACCCGCCGGAUGGCAGCACUGUAGCCACGCUUACCUCGGCGAAUCCCUCGUCACCAAGAUUGAGCAAUAGUAACCAGCCACCGACAAGGCCCUGGACAGUGGGGCCUGCCUGUCGACCAAGGAGCCGGUAGCCGGCGGGACCCACCAGUCGGCGGGCCCCAGCAGCCGGCGCAGAAGCCGGAGAGCGAAGACACAGACGGCUCGGCCCCACGCCCAGCCGAAUUAACAUUGAACCCGGGGGGGGGGGUAGGCCUAUAUAAACCCCCCGGGACACCCAUGCCAAGCAGGGGUCCCUGCUAGUUUUAGACACCACGUAGGGAGGAGAAGAGAGCAAGCAGAGCCCUUCUUCCUCCUCUCGCCAAACAGCUCAAGGAGCAUCGUGUAGCUACUUGUUCAUCUAGUGAUCAUGCGGAGACCCCGCAGAGCAGCAGUAGGGGUGUUAUCUCCACGGAGAGCCCCGAAGCUGGGUAAGAUUCGCCGGCGUGCAUGUCUUCGCCUCAUCCCAUUUCCAGGCACCGGCGAUGUUUUACUGGCUCCCACAAUGAUAAGCCACCCAUUGGCAUAUGUCGCACCUACCACCCGACAAAGUGAAUCCCUAGGGUUCAGUUAACAGCCAAGGGAUUGAUCGCUCGGGUUCAGUAACGUGCGAUCGCUCCGGGUUCAGUUAGCCAACGCCUCACACACACGCAUGUACAUGAGAGAAACGCGCAAACCAUAGUGCAUCGCUCAUCCCCGACCCCACCGUAACCAGUAACUCCGCGAUAUUUCCUCUCCCUCACUUCUACCAUGAUUCUUUCCAUCAUGGAUGGCCCAAAUAAUUGAAGGAAAUAUGCCCUAGAGGCAAUAAUAAAAUUGUUAUUUAUAUUUUCUUAUAUCAUGAUAAAUGUUUAUUAUUCAUGCUAGAAUUGUAUUAACUGGAAACUUAGUACAUGUGUGAAUACAUAGACAAACAGAGUGUCCGUAGUAUGCCUCUACUUGACUAGCUCGUUAAUCAAAGAUGGUUAAGUUUCCUAGCCAUAGACAUGUGUUGUCAUUUGAUGAACGGAAUCACAUCAUUAGAGAAUGAUGUGAUGGACAAGACCCAUCCGUUAGCUUAGCAUAAUGAUCAUUUAGUUUUUCUCCUAUUGCUUUCUUCAUGACUUCUACAUGUUCCUCAGACUAUGAGAUUAUGCAACUCUCGAAUACCGUAGGAACAACUUGUGUGCUAUCGAACGUCACAACAUAACUGGGUGAUUAUAAAGAUGCUCUAUAGGUGUCGCCCAUGGUGUUUGUUGAGUUGGCAUAGAUCGAGAAUAGGAUUUGUCACUCCGUGUUCUAGAGAGGUAUCUCUGGGCCCUCUUGAUAAUGCUCAUCACUAUAAGCCUUACAAGCAAAGUGACUAAUGAGUUAGUUGUGGGAUGAUGCAUUACGGAACGAGUAAAGAGACUUGUCGGUAAUGAGAUUGAACUAGGUAUGAUGAUACCGACGAUCGAAUCUCGGGCAGGUAACAUACCGAUGACAAAGGGAACAAUGUAUGUUGUUAUGCAGUUUGACCGAUAAAGAUCUUCGUAGAAUAUGUAGGAACCAAUAUGAGCAUCCAGGUUCCGCUAUUGGUUAUUGACCAGAGAUGUGUCUCGGUCAUGUCUACGUAGUUCUCGAACCCAUAGGGUCCGCACGCUUAGUGUUCGAUGAUGAUUUGUAUUAUGAGUUAUGUGAUUUGAUGUACCGAAGGUUGUUCAGAGUCCUGAAUGAGAUCACGGACAUGACGAGGAGUCUCAUAAUGGUCAAUACAUAAAGAUUGAUAUAAUGUACCAUGUUAUUCAGACACCGGAAGCAUUCCGGAUAAAACCGGAGUGGCGGAAGGGUUAUCGAAACCCCCCGGGGAUGUAACGGGCCUUAGUGGGCCUUAGGGGGGCGGGAGGGCAGCAGCCAGGUGGCGACGGCCCCCAAGGGGAGUCCGAAUAGGACUAGGGGAGGGGGGUGCGGCCCCUCUUUCCCUCUCCCUCUCCCUCUCCUUCCUUCUUCUCCUACUUGCACUAGGAAAGGGGGAGCCGAUUCCUACUUGCAGUAGGACUCCCCCCUUGGGCACCCUCCUCCUACCCUCCUUUAUAUACGGGGAUGGGGGCACCCCAUAGACACCCAAGUUUUAGCCAUGUGCGGUGCCCCCCUCCACAGUUACACACCUCGGUCAUAUCGUUGUAGUGCUUAGGCGAAGCCCUGCAUCAGUAACUUCAUCAUCACAGUCACCACACUGUUGUGCUGACGGAACUCUCCCUCGGCCUCAACUGGAUCAAGAGUUCGAGGGACGUCAAUGAGUUGAACGAGUGCUGAUCACGGAGGUGACGUGCGUUCGGUACUUGGAUCGGUUGGAUCGCGAAGACGUUCGACUACAUCAACCGCAUUACUAAACGCUUCCACUUUCGGUCUACGAGGGUACGUAGACACACUCUCCCCUCCCGUUGCUAUGCAUCUCCUAGAUAGAUCUUGUGUGAUCGUAGGUAAAUUUUUUGAAAUACUGCGUUCCCCAAAAGUGGUAUCUGUCGGAUUUCGGGUUCCGGCAGACCCUUGAGGUUCGAACAUUGGGGUGCGCGCGGUGAUUUUGCCUCCUACCUACCUGCACCCCUCCGCCUCGCUAAGAUCUAAGCUAAGGAAAGAACAGCACAAGAAACACAUGAUUUAUACUGGUUCGGGCCACCGUUGUGGUGUAAUACCCUACUCCAGUGUGUGGUGUGGUGGAUUGCCUCUUGGGCUGAUGAUGAUGAACAAUACAAGGAAGAACAGCCUCGCGAGGGUAUGUUCUUAGCUGGGGGGACGAACUGCUAGGAGGAGUUCAGUCACCCUUCUCUCUCUGAUUUCGAUCCGACCCUUGAUCCUCGAUCCUCGAUCUUGAACCCGAACCUAAACCUCCUCUCCCUGUGGGUGGCUGGUCCUAUUUAUAGGCAAUGGCCCUGGGCCUCUUCCCAAAUAUUGAGCGGGAAGGGCGCCAACAAUCGGCCAUUUUGAAGGGGAACAUCGGGUACACUUAUCCUGACUAAAGUUGGUCGUCGCCUGCCAAAGGCUCUGGUGGUGACGCUGGCUUGGGCUCCACAAUGACUUCCUUCCUGCCAUUGGACUGGUCUUGGUCUCGUUGCACCGAAACGGGUGCCUUUGCUUGAUGUUCUUGCCUGCACUUGCUCCCUUUGCACCAAAGAGGAAAGGAGGACGUUGCGCGGGCUGGCGCCCGCCUGGCGCCUUUGGUCGUCAUGGCUUACAUCACGGGCACCUCGUGAGGUACCCCGCCUUGAUCUCUCCGCCUCCUCGCGAGCCAUCCUGGUGAGGCCGUGCCUGAGGAAGCUCCGUGUCGUUCGCCCCGCGAGGCUUGGCCCCUCGCGAGGGUCUUGGGUCUAUGUUGAUGAAGAUGGGCCGUGCUGGGCUCCCCUUUGAGCCACGCCGCAGGCCGCAGGCAGGCAAGUCUGGGGACCCCCGUUCCCAGAACGCCGAUAGUAGCCCCCGGGCCCAAGGCGCGCCCGGACUUGGCCGUGCAGGGAGGCGGAAGGGCAAGAGCGAAGCGCCGCGGGCCCUAACAGCCUGCGGUCUUGGGCGCCGUGUGGCGGUUGAUUGGACGUGAGCACCUUAGCAACCGCGCGAGUUGAUAAAGGAGCGGCAUCCGCCUAGGCUUUGCUUUUUGCUUUCUCCGGUUGCUGCUCAGAUCCCCUUUCUUGCGCCUCUCCUUCCUUCCUCCAAAAUUUCCAGAUCCACUCCGACCGCGUGACCUAGGAAGCCAUGGCGCCUCGUCAGUCCCCGGCCGUAGCUUGGUACUCGUCUGCCCUGGACUCGCCGAACGUGUCGGAGGCGAGCCUCGCCAGGUUGCACCGGAUGGCGGCGGCACGGGGCAUCGACGGGGCGAAGGUGUUCAAGGCCGGCUCUGCCACCCCUGAGGGCCAAGGGAGCACCUUCUAUCCGUUCUUCGUAAGCGUCAUUGCUGCUGGCCCGGUGCCUCCCUACUCCGAGUUCUUCUUCUCUGUCCUCUGCCAUUAUAAGCUACACACUUUGCAUCUCCACCCCAACUCCGUCCUUCUCCUGGCGAUCUUCGCCUAUUACUGCGAGGCUCAUGUAGGGGUGCAGCCCUCAGUGGCCUUGCUACGCCACUACUUCUACCUCCGGACCUCUCGCGGUCCUGCUUCCGCGUGCGCGAGCUUCAUCGCGUACGGUGGCGCCAUUGCCAUUUCGAACCCUGGGAAAAGGAUUGAGGGCUUCAGGAGAGAGUGGGUCUUGGCGGAUGCUGGGCGCAUCCACCCUGGGCUGAUCUUGCCCACGGAGCAACCCACGAGCUCUAGCGAUUGGGGUCGAGCGGAGAUCGCGGAUCCCUGCACGAAGCUGGUGUUGGAGAAGAUGGACGCGGAUCUGAGGCCGGCCAACAUGGCAGCGGCGAAGCUGACCGGUGCGUCGCUGCUGAGGGAAUUCCUGGAGCACCAGCUGGCUCCGCUUCGGCAGUACUCACUUCCGAUGUGGAGGCCCCAUCCGAGCCCCGCGGCCUUGGCCGACGGAGAUCUGGCUGCGGUCCUCCAAUCUCUGGUCGGGGCGAUGUGGCGAGGUUGGAGGGCGCUCCUACGCCCUUGUUCCUCCGCGACGACUGGGAGCAGGUAUUGGAGUCCAUGCCCGUCUUCAACGGGGACGGUCCCGUGCCCAUGGAAACUCCCGAGGAACCGGUGGACGUGCCCUCCGACGACUCCAGCGAAGAGCAGGAAGGAGGGGAGCGGGAAAAAGGGCCUGACUCCGAGGCGACUGACGGAGAGUCGAGGGCUCCCCUCCCCCGGUGCAGGUCCCGCGUUCUCCGCCUCUCUCCGAGCGAUGACGACGAGGAUGAUGACGAGCAGGACGGUGGGAGCUUGCCCCCGAUCCCGAAGAAGGACAGGACCGGGCUGAUCUCCCGCGGGUAUGCCCUGGUCCCGAGGCGGACCGCAGACGCACCUUCCGCUUCCAAGCUUCCCGAGGUUGACCCUUCUAGCCGGCUUUCGGGCUUCAAAUUUGGCCGGAGGCCGCUUGAGCUCACUGACGACGACCCGUAAGCGCUUGAUUCUUGUCUUUAUAUCUUGUUCUCCUUCUGAGGCUUGACGUCCGCAUCUCUUGGAUAGGCUGGCGCCCGCAGCAAAGAAGCCGAAGGGAGCUCUUGAGGUUCCAUCCGUGGCAGCGCCUCUGGCCACGAAGGAGGGUGACCGCGACGCACGGGCUUCUCCUGCCCCGUCGUCGUCGCGAGGCCUGGCUGAGACGGCAGGGGCGAGCUCAGCCCCCAUGUCCCAAGUGACUCCCAAGGUGCCUUUGCCUGCUGCCGCCACUCGCUGCCGCCUUCUCCUUCUACUCCACCGACUGCUGUCUCUCCGACUCCUCCUGCCGUUCUAGAUCGUGCUGCUGCUGAGCUGGAUCGGCUGUGGCAGGAUCUUCUUGGCGCCAACCCUCGCUUGGUGGCCGGGCGCUUGGAGCUGGCUUCAGGAUGGAUUCGCUCCGACGCUUCGAUUCGGGCGACGCUGGUCCAGGCCUCGACGGCUUGCGAUGAGGAGAAGCAGGCCGUCCUUGAGGCGAAGGCUGCUCGUGACGCAGCCCUGGGGGAGGUGGUCGACGUCCGUGGUCGCUGCAAGGCGCUGGAGGACGAGCUGCAAGGCCUGCGGGACCAGCUCGUGAAAGAGGUCCGCCUUCGCCAAGAGCAAGAAGAAGGCGUGAAGGCUCGCGAGACGGCCGUCAAGGAGAGGGAGGUCAAGCUCAGGAAGCGCCGCGACCGCCUAGGUGCGCUGGAGCAGGAGUUGGGGGUGAGGGAGGCCGAGCUGGACGACAAGGCCCUGGUUCUUGCCGAGGACCGCGUGGCCUUCACGGAGAUGGAGGCGAAGGCUCGCUCCUCGCUGAGGACGCUUUACGACAGUGGCCUGGAGAGCCCGCUGGCUGGCGCCGAGGACGGCCCCGCCAAGCUGCUUCCCUUCCUGGUUCGUGCUCUUGAAGAUGUCGCCCUUGGCCUUGGCCCCACGGCCGAGGCCAAGGCGCGUGUCGUGUCUUCUGCAGCGCUGACGCGGGUCGUCACCCACAUCUACCUUCGCGAUCCCGGCGUCGACCUUGACAGCCUGCUGGAGCCAGUAAGCAGCAAGCAUGCCGCUGCCACUGCCGAGGCCGUGAAGGGUCGCGCGGAGGCUCUGCUGGGGAAGUUCCGGGCCUUCAGCACCAAGCCGAAGCAAGGCGCUACUGACCCCACCGCUCCAUGAGGCGAACCCACUCCGCGCUGCUCCACUGCCGACAAGUGACUCCGUUGUGGCUCCUGUCCUGCCUUUAAUUCCUGCACAUGUAUCAUGCCUCGGGGAGGCGUUUAAACUUGCGUUUGGCAUUGAGAUAACAGUGUGGACUGUAAUAUUUUCUUUUGAAUUCCUUGAGAUUUACGCUGUUCCUUCCUACUUGCUUAUGUUCUACGCCGGCAGAGCCCGGCCCUACGCAUACCUCAGCCGCCGUUAGCCCCGACCGGAAACUAGGACGGGACCAAGGAGUGAGGGGCUACGUGCCAAGUUAGGCUCCUGAGUCGCGAUGCUCAGGAGUCCCCCUUGGCGCAUGAACAGCAAGUAGGGAAGUAUGAUGUGGGUGGAUCUACCGUUCUACGUCUGCAGAGCCUGGCCGCGCGCAUAGCUCAACCGCCGUUAGCCUUUCGGAACUAAGGAGUGAGGGGCUACGUGACCAGUUAGGCUCCUGAGUCGCGAUGCUCAGGAGUCCCCCUUGACGCUCAAACGACCUUUGUACCUUGGCUCCGCUCGGGGAGAGACGCGCGACGAACCAGGCCCGGGGGGGCCUGGCUGGGCGGCGUGCGUCUGGGCGUGACCCAGGCGCAGCCCCCGUGCCCAGCGCCCUCGUGCAGCACUCCCGAGGGGAGGCGUUAUGAUGAGGCUAGACACUGAGCUCUGGGCUCCUUGAGGUUGAUGCGGCCCGGGGCCACCCUCAGUUGUUUAUCACCAGCGCGGAGCAUAGCGCUUCCGUAUGUGUACGGGCAUAGCCGCUCCUCGGCAGUGUCGUCAGCCAGCACGGAGCAUGGUGCUUCCACUGGUAGGUGGGAGGGGGCCCCCCUCCGGGAGGAGCCCCCAGGGCGUGUACAGCCCCGCCCUGACACGUGGCUGGCACGGAAGGGCCUGGCCAGGUGUAUCUGGGCACCCGUGAUCCAGCGCGGGACUCACGGGGCCCUACCUCUAGGCGGGUUGCGCCUGGAACUGGGCCUUAUCUUGUGAUGUGUCCCUGCAAAUUUGGUUAGAUGCCGACACUCUACGUCCUCGGGUCCCGGCCCUCGAGCUGGUCUCAGCCGUCGCUGGUAUGCCAGGUCGCGAUGCCGUGGACAAGGCCAGAGGGUGAGGGCUAGAGAGCCAGUAAGAGCCCUGAGUUGCGAUGCUCAGGUACCCCCCCUUUAACGUGCAAGUGACCGGCAUGGAGAAGAAGAGGUGCUGUGGACCGGCAUCAAAUAAUAAAGCAUGGUGGGUCGAACGCAUAACCGGAAAUAAACGCAAAAGGGAUACAUGCCGCUGGGUCUGGCCCGAGCGACUUGGGGAUGAUGCAGCCCGAGGGGCGCCCCCAACAAAGUAAGCUAACAACAUGAAAUAAAAGGGAUAUGUGCCGCAGGGACGGACCCACGCGGCCUGGGAAUAAUGCAGCCCCGGGGGGGGGGGGGCGCUCCCAGCUGGAAAUGAAACUUGAAAGAUGUCACCUGAUGAUGUUGAGGACGAAGGACUGUUGGUAUAGCAGACUCGGUGGGCUGUGGAAGCCGAUCCUCACGAGCCCCCAGGCCUAGGGGCCUCGGGAGGCUCCGGAGGCGCUGCUACAUGGCAACCGUGUUCGGCAAGCCGUAAGGCAUGCGAACGUAGCUGUGGGGUGGACCUCCACAGCGCCCCACUCGCGAGGGCCAGAGGCGCUCCAGAGAGGCGACUCGAUUGAGCCCUAGUAUGUCGAUGCAGACGCGCAGCCCACCAUCCUCGCCUAGAUGGGGAGCCACUGCUGGUAGGCGGCAACCGCCUUUCAUGACUCUUGACUCCUGUAGCUCCUGAAUGGCCUUGCUGACGAACUCCUGAGGGUCUGGCUCUCCUUGCCUUACUCCUUCUUGAGGGAAACGUGCUUCGAAACACGCCUCCAUCUGGAGCCCAAGCGCCUCCCUCGUGACCCUAGCCAGGUCGGUGGCCCUCCAGGGGAGAGCCCCCGAGCCCUGCCUGAGGAGGGCGCCGGGCGCGCUUUCCUAUGCGAUGGAAGGAGGUUCCCCCUGGGUAGGCGCGGGCCCAGAGGGGCCUGCCCCCUGAGGGGCCGGGCCGGACGAUGUCUCUUCUUCUUGAGGGCGGUCUCGGGAAGCCUCCUGCUUCGCGAUCCGGGUCUUCUAGUGACGCAGCCUGAAAGGCUCGCUCUAGGGAAGACACCGCGUCCUUCUCUUCACAGGGCACCGUGAUGACUCCGCCAAUUCCUGGCAUCUUGAGGACGUUGUAGCCGUGGUGAGUUACAGCCAUGAACUUGGCCAGCGCUAGGUACCCAAGGAUGGCGUUGUACGGCAGGCGAAUGUGAGCGACGUCGAAGUCGAUGAGCUCGGUGCGGUAGUUGUCGCGUGCCCCGAAGGUGACAGGGAGGCGGACCUGCCCAAUCGGGACCGUGGAGCCGUCGGUGACUCCGGAGAAAGUCUUGGUUGGCUGAAGCUGGCUGUAGGGCACUUGGAGAUUGUUGAAUGUUUCCACGGACAGGACGUUGAGCCCUGCCCCGCCAUCGAUGAGGGUCCUGGUGACCACCACGUUGCUGAUGAUUGGGGAACAAAGCAUCGGGAGGACUCCGGCUGUAGCCGCACACUUGAGCUGAUCUGCUGAGCUGAACGUGAUGGCGCACGCCGACCACCUGAGAGGGCACGUGGCUUCGAGCUUGGGGAGGACUGCAUUCACUUCGCGGGCGAACUGAUUGAAGAUGCGUUGAGAGGCUGGGGCUUGAUCCCCUCCCAGGAUGCAGGUGAUCAUGCGCGGCUCCUGGAAGCCCCCAGCCACUCGUCCUAGUGGCGGUCCUCGUUUCUCCUUGGCUGCAGCGGCAACGGAGGGAGGCCUGCGUUGCCUUGCGGGCGAUCCUCGCGAGGCUGAUCCCUCCAGUCUCCCUCGCAAGGCGGAUCUUGCCAGCGAUCCUCGCGAGGUUGAUCGCGCCACCCUUGGCGUGGGCCACGGUCUUCCCAGCGUCCUGCGUUCCUUCCUCCUCCUCCUCGACCAUAGCCCCGGUCACCGCGGUCGGGGCAACGGCCGAUCCUUCCUUCUCGCAUGGCUCGUAGCUCUUGACAUUCGUUGGUGUUGUGGGUGUGGAGGUUGUGGUACACACAGUAUCGACUGCCCUUGGAAGGUUCGGGCUGAUCUCUGCCCCGCUUGGUGUCUGGUUCUGCCGCGAGCACGGCAGCCCCCUUGCGCUUCACAUCCUUGGCCUUGGGCUUCUUCUCUUCUGGGUCUGCCGCAGGCAGCUCGAGGAGGGAGAGAUGCCCUUCCUCAGCCCUGGCGCACUUGGUUGCCAAGUUGAACAGCUCCAAGGAAGUGCACAGGUCUUCAUGCAUCGCCAGCUCCUCCUUCAUCUUGAUAUCGUGCAUGCCGUCGGAGAAGGCUGAGAUGAUGGCCUCGUCAGUCACCUUGGGAAUCUUGAGGCGUGCGUUGUUGAAGCGCUGGAUGUAUUUCUGCAGGAUCUCCCCGGGUUGUUGCUUGAUGCGGCGCAUGUCGCUCACGGCGGGUGGCCGGUCGCGAGUACCUUGGAAGUUGGCGAUGAAGCGGGUGCGCAUCUCGUCCCAGGAGGAGAUCAUGCCUGGAGCCAGGUUCAGGAGCCAGGUGCGGUCCCCGUCCUUGAGCGCCAUGGGAAACCAGUUCGCCAUGACCUUCUCGUCUCCGUUGGCAGCUUCGAUGCCCAGCUCAUAGAGCUGGAGGAACUCUGCAGGGUCGGCCGUGCUGUCGUAACGAGGAGGCAGGUCUGGCUUGAACUUGCCGGGCCACAUGGCUCUGCAUAGCUCGGUGGUGAAGGCACGGCAGCCUGCUGUGGCCACGGGAGGCCUUGGGUGACGGAGAGCUUGGUCUUGCAUGUCCCCACGCGCUGCAGCUGGGAGCAGCGCGGGGUCUUGGCGUGCGGGAGCAGGAGCAUGGUCGCAACGUGCUGGAGCAGGGAGCGCCCGGGCAGCUUCCUGCGGGCGAGGGGCUUCUUGGCAGCUCUGCUCUUGCCGCGCUGGCACCUGACGGAGCGGGUUCCGCCCAGGGGCCACGCGCCUUGGAGCCAUGGCGCCUUCUUGAGGAGGUGGCGGCCGGGGCGCCACCGGAGCCUCGUCGCCCGCGCGGGGCGGGGUGCGGUGCAGCGGAACGGACGGCGCAGGAGAGCCCCCUGCGGCGCGGACGAGCUCGGCGACGCAGUCGAGCCAUUCUUCAUAGACAUCAUCGACGGGACGGUAGCGCAGGAGCUCGUUUGCCGCGAUGAGUGCAGCUCGAGCCUCCAUGGGUGCGCGGAGCGCGCGGGACGAAGAACCAUCUGGGGUGAGCGAGGGAGUAGUGGUGCGGCCGUCUUGCUGCACCAACGGAUGCUGAGACGAUGCUUGCUGCUCGUCCCCCGCCGGGCCGGUGGCGGCGUUGACGGCAGGUGACGGGGAACGGCGAGGACGCCCGCCGAUAGGAGCCGUCUGGGCGACGCGGGAAGCGAGAGCGGCCCGGCGCUCGGCGCGGGCCUGACGAGCGUCAGACAUGGGCGCGAUGAUCGGAGGAGAACGGGGUGGUGGAAGACGAAUUCCGGCGCACCCCUACCUGGCGCGCCAAAUGUCAGAUUUCGGGUUCCGGCAGAUCCUUGAGGUUCGAACACUGGGGUGCGCGCAGAGAUUUUGCCUCCUACCUACCUACACCCCUCUGCCUCGCUAAGAUCUAAGCUAAGGAAAGAACAACAAAAGAAACACAGGAUUUAUACUGGUUCGGGCCAUCGUUGUGGUGUAAUACCCUACUCCAGUGUGUGGUGUGGUGGAUUGCCUCUUGGGCUGAUGAUGAUGAACAAUACAAGGAAGAACAGCCUCGCGAGGGUCUGUUCUUAGCUGGGGGGGGGACGAACUGCUAGGAGGAGUUCAGUCACCCUUCUCUCUCUCUGAUUUCGAUCAGAUCCUUGAUCCUCGAUGCUCGAUCUCGAACCCGAACCUGAACCUCCUCUCCCUGUGGGUGGCUGGUCCUAUUUAUAGGCAAUGGCCCUGGGCGUCUUCCCAAAUAUUGAGCGGGAAGGGCGCCAACAAUUGGCCAUUUUGAAGGGGAACAUCAGGUACACUUCCUUCCUGCCGUUGGACUGGUCUUGGUCUCGUUGCACCAAAAUAGGUGCCUUUGCUUGAUGCUCUCGCUUGCGCUUGCUCUCUUUGCACCAAAGAGGAAAGGAGGACGCUGCGCGGGCUGGGCCCGCCUGGCGCCUUUGGUCGUCAUGGCUUGCGUCACGGGCACCUCGUGAGGUACCCCGCCUUGAUCUCUCCGCCUCCUCGCGAGCCAUCCUGGUGAGGCCAUGCCUGAGGAAGCUCCGUGUCGUCCGCCCCGCGAGGCUUGGCCCCUCGCGAGGGUCUUAGGUCUGUGUUGAUGAAGAUGGGCCGUGCUGGGCCCCCCUUUGAGCCACGCCGUAGGCCGCAGGCAGGCAAGUCUAGUGACCCCCGUUCCCAGAAAACCGACAGUAUCAGAGCCAGGUUUAUGCGUAGAUAUUAUAUGCACGAGUAGAACACAAAGAGUUGUGGGCGAUAAUAGUCAUACUUCUUACCAGGAUGUCAUAUUUUGAUUCGGUGGUAUUGUUGGAUGAAGCGGCCCAAACCAACAUUACAUGACCAUGUUCAUGAGACUGGUUCUACCGCCGUGCUUCACACAUAGGUGGCUAGUGGGUGUCUGUUUCUCCAACUUUAGUUGAAUCGAGUGUGACUACGCCCGGUCCUUGUUGAAGGUUAAAACGGCAAACUUGAUGAAAAAUCGUUGUAGUUUUGAUGCGUAGGUAAGAACGGUUCUUGCUAGAAGCCCGUAGUAGCCACGUAAAACUCGCAACAACAAAGUAGAGGACGUCUAACUUGUUUUUGUAGGGCUUGCUGUGAUGUGAUAUGGUCAAGACGUGCUGAUAUAUAAAUUGUUGUAUGAGAUGAUCAUGUUUUGUAAUAGUUAUCGACAACUGGCAGGAGCCAUAUGGUUGUCGCUUUGUAAUUGCUUUACUUUAUCACUAAGCGGUAGUGAUAGUCGUAGAAGCAAUAGUUGGCGAGACGACAAUGAUGCUUCGAUGGAGAUCAAGGUGUCAAGCUGGUGAUGAUGGUGAUCAUGAUGGUGCUUUGGAGAUGGAGAUCAAAGGCACAAGAUGAUGAUGGCCAUAUCAUAUCACUUAUUUGAUUAAAUGUGAUGUUUAUCUUUUUAUGCAUCUUAUUUUGCUUAGUUUGGUGGUAGCAUUAUAAGAUGAUCUCUCACUAAAUUUCAAGGUAUAAGUGUUCUCCCUGAGUAUGCACCAUUGCUAUAGUUCGUCGUGCGGAGACACCACGUGAUGAUCAGGUGUGAUAAGCUCUACGUUCACAUAUAACGGGUGCAAGCCAGUUUUGCACAAGCAGAAUUCUUAGGUUAAACUUGAUUAGCCUAGCAUAUGCAGAUAUGGCCUCGGAACACUGAGACCGAACGGUCGAGUGUGAAUCAUAUAGUAGAUAUGAUCAACAUAGUGAUGUUCACCAUUGAAAACUUCUCCAUCUCACGUGAUGAUCGGACAUGGUUUAGUUGAUAUGGAUCACGUGAUUAUUUAGAUGACUAGAGGGAUGUCUAUCUAAGUGGGAGUUCUUAAGUAAUAUUAUUAAUUGAACUUUAAUUUAUCAUGAACUUAGUAUCUUAUAGUAUUUUGCAUGUCUAUGUUGUUGUAGAUAAAUGGCAUGUGCUACUCUUCCUUUGAAUUUUAAUGCAUUCCUAGAGAAAGCUAAGUUGAAAUAUGAUGGUAGCAACUACACGGACUGGGCCCGUAACUUGAGGAUUAUCCUCAUUGUUGCACAGAAGAAUUACGUCCUGGAAGCACCGCUAGGUGCAAAGCCCGCUGCAGGAGCUACUCCAGAUGUUAUGAAUGUUUGGCAGAGCAAAGCCGAUGAUUACUCGAUAGUUCAGUGUGCCAUGCUUUACGGCUUAGAAUCGGGACUUCAAUGACAUUUUGAACAUCAUGGAGCAUAUGAGAUGUUCCAGGAGUUGAAGUUAAUAUUUCAAGCAAAUGCCUGGAUUGAGAGAUAUGAAGUCUCCAACAAGUUCUAAAGUUGCAAGAUGGAGGAGAAUAGUUCUGUCAGUGAACAUGUACUCAGAAUGUCUGGGUACCACAACCACUUGACUCAGCUAGGAGUUAAUCUUCCUAAUGAUAGUGUCAUUAACAGAGUUCUUCAAUCACUACCACCAAUCUACAAAAGCUUCAUGAUGAACUAUAAUAUGCAAGGGAUGGAUAAGACAAUUCCCGAGCUCUUCGCAAUGCUAAAAGCUGCGGAGGUAGAAAUCAAGAAGGAGAAUCUAGUGUUGUUGGUCAAAAAGACCACUAGUUUCAAGAAGAAUGGCAAAAGGGAAGAAGGGGAACUUCAAGAAGAAUGGCAAGGAAGUUGCUGCUCAAGUGAAGAAGCCAAAGUCUGGACCUAAGCCUGAGACUGAGCGCUUCUACUGCAAAGGGACUGGUCACUGGAAGCAGAACUGCCCCAAGUAUUUGGAGGAUAAGAAGGAUGGCAAAGUGAAAGGUAUAUUUGAUAUACAUGUUAUUGAUGUGUACCUUACUAAUGCUCGCAGUAGCACCUGGGUAUUUGAUACUGGUUCUGUUGCUAAUAUUUGCAACUCGAAACAGGGGCUAUGGAUUAAGGGAAGAUUGGAUCAGGACGAGGUGACGAUGCACAUGGGAAAUGGUUCCAAAGUCGAUGUGAUCGCGGUCGGCACGCUACCUUUACAUCUACCUUCGGGAUUAGUUUUAGACCUAUAUAAUUGUUAUUUGGUGCCAGCGUUAAGCAUGAACAUUAUAUCUGGAUCUUGUUGGAUGUGAGAUGGUUAUUCAUUUCAAUCAGAGAAUAAUGGUUGUUCUAUUUAUAUGAGUAAUAUCUUUUAUGGUCAUGCACCCUUGAUGAGUGGUCUAUUUUUAUUGAAUCUCGAUAGUAGUGAUACACAUAUUCAUAAUAUUGAAGCCAAAAGAUAUAAGUUUAAUAAUGAUAGUGCAACUUAUUUGUGGCACUGCCGUUUAGGUCAUAUUGGUGUAAAGCGCAUGAAGAAACUCCAUGCUCAUGGGCUUUUGGAAUCACUUGAUUAUGAAUCACUGGAUGCUUGCGAAACAUGCCUCAUGGGCAAGAUGACUAAGACUCCGUUCUCCAGAACAAUGGAGCGAGCAACAGACUUAUUAGAAAUAAUACAUACUGAUGUAUGCAGUCCGAUGAGUGUUGAUGCUCGCGGCGGGUAUAGUUAUUUUCUGACCUUCACAGAUGAUUUGAGUAGUUAUGGGUAUAUCUACUUGAUGAAGCAUAAGUCUGAAACUUUUGAAAAGUUCAAAGAAUUUCAGAGUGAAGUGGAAAAACAUCAUAACAAGAAAAUUAAGUUUCUACGAUCUGAUCGUGGAGGUGAAUAUUUGAGUUAUGAGUUUGGUCUUCAUUUGAAACAAUGCGGAUUAGUUUCGCAACUCACGCCACCUGGAACACCACAUCGUAAUGGUGUGUCCGAACAUCGUAAUCGCACUUUAUUAGAUAUGGUGCGAUCUAUGAUGUCUCUUACUGAUUUACCACUAUUGUUUAGGGGUUAUGCUUUAGAGAUGGAUGCACUCACGUUAAGUAGGGCACCAUCGAAAUCCGUUGAGAUGACACCAUAUGAACUGUGGUUUGGCAAGAAACCCAAAUUGUCGUUUCUUAAAGUUUAGGACUACGAUGCUUAUGUGAAAAAGCUUCAACCGGAUAAGCUCGAACCCAAAUCAGAGAAAUGUGUCUUUAUUGGAUACCCAAAGGAGACUAUUGGGUACACCUUCUAUCACAGAUCCGAAGGCAAGUUAUUCGUUGCUAAGAAUGGAUCCUUUCUGGAGAAGGAUUUUCUCUCGAAAGAAGUGAGUGGGAGGAAAGUAGAACUUGAUGAGGUAACUAUACCUUCUCCCUUAUUGUAAAGUAGUUCAUCACAGAAAUCAGUUCCAGUGAGUCCUACACCAAUUAGUGACGAAUCUAAUGAUGAUGGUCAUGAAACUUCUGAUCAAGUUACUAUCGAACCUCGUAGGUCAACCAGAGUAAGAUCCGCACCAGAGUUGUACGGUAAUCAUGUUCUGGAAGUCAUGUUACAUGACCAUGACGAACCUACGAACUAUGAGGAAGCGAUGAUGAGCGCAGAUUCCACAAAAUGGCUUGAGGCCAUCAAAUCUGAGAUGGGAUCCAUGUAUGAGAACAAAGUAUGGACUUUGGUUGACUUGCCCGAUGAUCGGCAAGCCAUAGAGAAUAAAUGGAUCUUCAAGAAGAAGACUGACGCUGUUGGUAACGUUACUAUCUACAAAGCUCGACUUGUUGCGAAAGGUUUUCGACAAGUUCAAGGAGUUGACUACAAUGAGACCUUCUCACCCGUAGCGAAGCUUAAGUCUAUCUGAAUCAUGUUAGCAAUUACCGCAUUUUAUGAUUAUGAAAUUUGGCAAAUGGAUGUCGAAAUUGCAUUCUUUAAUGGAUAUCUCAACGAAGAGUUGUAUAUGAUGCAACCAGAAGGUUUUGUCGAUCCUAAAGGUGCUAACAAAGUCUGCAAACUCUAGUGAUCCAUUUAUGGACUGGUGCAGGCCUCUCGGAGUUGGAAUAUAUGCUUUGAUAGUGUGAUCAAAGCAUAUGGUUUUGUACAAACUUUUGGAGAAGCAUGUAUUUACAAGAAAGUGAGUGGGAGCCUCUCUCAAGGAGGGAGACAUAGAGAUUUGCAAGAUACAUACGGAUCUGAAUGUUGCAGACCCAUUGACUAAGCCUCUCUCAUGAGCAAAACAUGAUCAACACCAAGACUCCAUGGGUCUUAGACUCAUUACUAUGUAAUCUAGAUUAUUGACUUUGGUGCAAGUGGGAGACUGAAGGAAAUAUGUCCUAGAGGCAAUAAUAAAGUUGUUAUUUAUAUUUCCUUAUAUCAUGAUAAAUGUUUAUUAUUCAUGCUAGAAUUGUAUUAAUUGGAAACUUAGUACAUGUGUGAAUACAUAGACAACCAGAGUGUCCCUAGUAUGCCUCUACUUGACUAGCUCGUUAAUCAAAGAUGGUUAAGUUUCCUAGCCAUAGACAUGUGUUGUCGUUUGAUGAACGGGAUCACAUCAUUAGAGAAUGAUGUGAUGGACAAGACCCAUCCAUUAGCUUAGCAUAAUGAUCAUUCAGUUUUUCUGCUAUUGCUUUCUUCAUGACAUAUACAUGUUCCUCAGACUAUGAGAUUAUGCAACUCCCGAAUACCGGAGGAACACCUUGUGUGCUAUCAAAUGUCACAACAUAACUGGGUGAUUAUAAAGAUGCUCUACAGGUGUCUCUGAUGGUGUUUGUUGAGUUGGCAUAGAUAAUGAAUAGGAUUUUUCACUCUGUGUUUUGGAGAGGUAUCUCUGGGCCCUCUCGAUAAUGCUCAUCACAAUAAGCCUUGCAAGCAAAGUGACUAAUGAGUUAGUUGCGGGAUGAUACAUUACGGAACGAGUAAAGAGACUUGCUGGUAACGAGAUUGAACUAUGUAUGAUUAUACCGACGAUCGAAUCUCGGGCAGGUAACAUACCGAUGACAAAGAGAACAACAUAUGUUGUUAUGCGGUUUGACCGAUAAAGAUCUUUGUAGAAUAUGUAGGAACCAAUAUGAGCAUACAUGAUCCGCUAUUGGUUAUUGAUCGGAGAUGUGCCUCGGUCAUGUCUACAUAGUUCUCGAACCCGUAGGGCCCGCACGCUUAACAUUUAAUGACAAUUUGUAUUAUUAGUUAUGUGAUUUGAUGUACCAAAGGUUGUUCGGUGUCGCAGAUGAGAUCACAUACAUGAUGAGGAGUCUCGAAAUGGUCGAGACAUGAAUAUUGAUAUAUUGGACCAUGUUAUUCGGACACCGGAAGCGUUCUGGAUAGUUUCGGAUAAAGCCAUAGUGCCGGAAGGGUUACCGGAACCCCCCAAGGAAGUAAUGGGCCUUAGGGGAGAGAGAGGGCACCACCUAGGAGGUGGCGCCUGUCGGAUCACGGGUUCCGGCAAAACCCUUAAGGUUCGAACUCUGGGGUGCGCGUGAAGAGCUCUGCCCGCCUAUCGAUCCACGUCCUAACUUAGCCUAGAUCUCACGAACUAACUCGACGAACUCACAACACAAAGGACACAAGAUUUAUACUGGUUCGUGCCACCGUUGUGGUGUAAUACUGUACUCCAGUGUGGUGGUGGUGGAUUGCCUCUUGGGCUGAGGAUGAACAGUACAAGGGGAAGAACAACCUCCUUAGGUUGAGGUGUUCUUGUGCUAGGUGCACUUGUGUGGCUGGGGGUGACCUUGGAUCCUCUCCCUCCCUAUGUGGUGGCUAGUCCUAUUUAUAGAGGCCCUGGUCCUCUCCCCAAAUAUUGAGCGGGAAGGGAGCCAAAAACGGCCAAUUUGAAAGGGGACAACUAGUACAAGCUAUCCUGACAAAAGGUGGUCUUCGCCUGCCAAAGGUUCUGGCGGUGACAUCGUCCUGGGCUCCAUGGUGACCUCCGUCUUGCCGUCCUUCUGGUCUUGGUCUUGUUGCACCAAUAUCGAAACCUUUGCUUGAUGCCUUGGUACUCCACGCCUGCGCUUUCCCCCUUAGCACCAAAGGGGAAACAAGGACGCUGUACGUGCUGGCAACCGCCUGGUCUCGAUCGUCAUAGCUUACAUCACGGAAACAUCACGAGGUUUGCCCAACCUUGAACUCUCCGCCCCUCACGAGCCGCUUGAUGAGGCUGCUCCUGAGGAGGUCUUCUGUCGUCUGCCUCGCGAGGGUCUUGAUUCCUUGUUGAUGAAGAUGGGUCAUACAGGGCUGCCAGCAAAGCCACGCCGUGGGCCGCAAGUAGGCAAAUCUAGGGACCCCCAUUCCCAGAAUGCCGACAGUAGCCCCCGGGCCCAAGGCGCGCUCGGGCUUGGCUUCGAGGCGAAGCCAAGGGUCAAGCGUGGAGCGCCGUGGGCCCCAAUAGCCUGCAACCUCAGUCGACGCAUGGCGGUUGAUUGGACGUGGGCGUCUCCGCUUCCCCACACUGCCUUGAUACCCGCCUGGCUAAACGGCCACCACGGUUAUUCUUCCAUCGCUUGCGCCAUUCGCUUCCAAUUCCUCUGCUUCCCCCAGACUCUGCUCCUCUUUCCAAUCUGACCUUAGCUCUGCUCGCCCCAUAGCCAUGGCGCCGACGCAAGUGGAUAAAGGGAAGAAGCCUCUGUCUUCGGCUAGUGCGCCCUCGGCCGCCGAGCAUGCAGUAGGUCGAUCGCGGGUGCUCAACGAUGAGGCCAUGUGCAUGGUGCGUCUCAUGCUCGCAUCUAGCUUCAACGAGUGGGGAGAGACGGUGGCUUGGCCUACAUCCCGUGCUCGCAUUGACCAGACGGCCUCUGAGGUCCCUUCUUCAUCGACGCCCUCUGGGCCGGCUUGGUCCUUCCUUUCUCCACCUUCCUCAACGUAGUGCUUUCCCAUUACCAGAUCCACAUGUUGCACCUUGAUCCCCAAUCCGUGACCCUGCUUGCCAUCUGCGCCUUCAUUUGCGAGGCCAUGGUCGGCAUUGCUCCUUCCGUGGCUCUUUUCCACCACUUCUUCUCGCUGCACCUGAUUGAUCCUAGGCAGAGCUCUGGGUGCCUGAGCUUUCAAGCCGUGGCGGCGAUGGCCGGCGACGGGGUUGACUUCGAGAUUCCACCAUCCACGAGCGGGUUCCGGACAUGGUGGGUGUUUGUUGACGUCGGAGUGCUCAGCCCCCUGCUCUCUUCUCCGUCUGAGCCUGCCAUUCCUAACUCCGGCUGGUGCCACCGGAGGCUCGCCGAUCCACGCCUUGUCCCCGUCUGGCUGAGGUUGAGAUGGCUCAAAGCCCUUGGCGUGACUGCGCCUAUGGUGGUGAGAGAGUUCGUCGAGCGCCAAAUUGCUCCGCUUCAGCUCCACUCUCGGCCGAUGUGGGCCUUGCUCAGCAGCCAGGACCACAUGAGACUUCGGGAGUCUAAGCUCCCCCAUGAGGCGCGGCGAACGGUGUUUGAGGUCCUGACAGGCGUCCCGUUGUCGGACGACUUGCUGAGGAAGAAUUGUGUUUUGUAUCGCUGCUCGAACAAGAUGUCCUUCACGGAGCAGAUGCCCUCCUUCGACGAGUGGGGGUUGCACCCAGCUAGCCUCGUGGGGCCUCGCGAGAACCCCAUCGUCGUGGUUCCUUUCCUUGAUGCUGGCGUAGAGCUCGCCCCAAGUGUUGAUGCAGGGGGAAGUGCACCUCUGGGGGCCGAUAGUGAAUGUGCCGAGAUGCUGAUGCCGCGUAGGGCUCCUGAAGCAUCGACCUCGGGGUCCCGUGACUCUUGCCCUGGGGCGGCUGUUGAAGGGGCGGUGCAGCCCGCGUGUCCCAUGGUCGGGGCUCCUGAGGCCUCGGCAAAUCACUGCGAGGUAGAGCCGGCCAACUCUCCUCAGCCUGGCUCUUCUGAGGCUGCCCCUCCGAGCACUUCUCCAGCCGCGCCUCGCGUCGGCCUCCAUGUCCAGCGCUUCGGCCGACUGUGUGUGGACUUCGCAGAACUCCGCAAGAGAAAGGGGUCCCCAAGCUGAAGCAGCGGUACCUUCGGAGGAAGUAUAUCGCCGUUGAUGAGUAAGUACCUUAUCUUGGUGAUCUUCUAUGUGCCGCUUUCCUUCCCGACGAUCGUCCCCUCAUGACCCCUUCUGCCAAGGCUGUAAAAUCUCCUGAGAAGCAGCUCCCUCUCGUCCCGUUGCACACGCCAAGCUCGAGCGCCGCAGGCUCGUGCGUCGCCCACGGCGCUGGGUCCACCACGGGAGUUGGCCCAUCAUCAGGGCAUCUUGAGCUCACGCCUUCGUCGUCCUUCCUUCGCGGCCUGGCUUGGAGCGCGGCAAGUGUGCCAAGGGCUCCUCCCCUGAUCACUGCCGGUGGCUGGUUGGCUUCGAUCCUAGGGUCCUCUUCAAGCAGCGGGCCCCAUUUAGUUCGGGGUCCUCGCAGACCCAGCCGGCGCCUGGGGCAGCGCCAGCCCCUGCCCCCUGCUGAGAGGGGACGUACCGUGUCGGGUGUCACCCACAGCCCCCGUAGCGGAGGGCGAGAUGAGCCGUGCGCUCGAGUUCGAGCACGGGCGGAGCAUUGUUCGUCAUGAGCACUUCCACAAGGUGAUGGGCGCGAUGAACCGACUCGGUGAAGAACUUGAGGGUGUCGACGCGUGCCUCGAGGCCGAGGGUCUUCGGUUGCCGGAGGAGUGGCACAAGCUACAGGUGGUCGUCAACCUCGGGCGCCACCAGCGCGAGUUGGACAAUAGGAAGGCCGAGGUUUGUCUUGCAGCCUCCCGUGAGGCCUGCUCACGAGCUCUGGGGGAGGCUCGGGAAGCUGACCGCCGUCGCGAGGCCGCGGAGAAACGUGCGUGGGAGAUCCAAGCCUGGAGCGCUGUCUUGGAUCAGCAUGUGGAGGCGCGCAGGGCUGCUCUUGCAUCAUUGAGGGGGUCGCCCACCGAGGAGGAAGAGAUCCGGAAGUGCGAGGAGGUGCUGGAGCUGGAAGCCGUGGAGCGCAGCCUUGAACUUGAACGGCUGGAGAGGAGGAAGUGCCAGGUUUCUCACGCGGAGGACGACGUCAGCGCGCACGAGGUCAGGGCCCAGGAGGAGGUCGACCGCCGUGUGGCUGAGGCUCACGCGGAUCUCGAGAGAAGGCACAACCUAAAGCUGAAGCUCGUGGAAGCUGGGGCCUCUGUUAGGACUGCUGCCCUCAAGUCCCGGCUAGUCGAGGUGGAGCGGCGCGAGGAGGCCACUACAUCAGCCCUAGCCUCGGCGCAGGCUGAGCUGGUUUCAUCCCGCGCCGAGGUGCUCUCUCUUCGGCAGCGGGUCGCCGACGCCGUGUCCGUCGCGUGGCAGAACAGGGACGAAGUGCUUGAGCGGCGGACAUUAGAGCGUGUGCAUGCCCCCAUGCUCGAGGACCUCAGGAACAGGGCCAACACCGCCCUGGGCCAUAUCUGCGAUGAGAAUGCUCCUCAUCCCCAUGAAAACGACUAAGCCAGCCACCUCCGCUUCUUUGGGGAUGUGGUGAUGCACCUGCAGAACCAUUCCAAGAGGGCUCACCAACUUGUUGAGGAUAGGAGUCGCAGUCUACUCAGGCGCGCAUUCUCCCGCGACUUCAGCCUCCUAUGGAACAUCGACUCCAACUUCGAUUUUGAUGCCGCCAUUGCUCUCGUACCGGAAGCUAUCCGGGGCGAUCUAGCGCGAUGGGUUGAAGACAAUGUGGAUGCGCUGGUCAGGGCCUUUGCUUCUGAAGACAACGGGGUAGUGGUCAUGGCAGACAAAGGCGUCGUGGUUGACGAUGGCGACACCAGCGCCGGUGAAGGUGGAGGCGACGCCAAUGAUGGCGACAGCGAUGCCACCGGUGCAUCAGAAGAUGAUAUGGGAGACGUGGCGAGCGACAUAUCCGGCUGAUUCCUCGUUCCCCUGCCGUUUACCCUAUAAACACUUGGGCGUGGCCCCGGAAGAUUGUAAGAGCAUUUUGAGAGGGGGAGCCCCUCAUGUAAACAAUCGUAGCUUUUAUCCUUAUGUGUCAAAUUGAGUACGAGUCUUCACGAGCUUACGCAUGCUGGGGCAAGUUGUUGUUGCGGUUUACCUUAGCUUGGACGAGCCCAAAACCGGCCCGAGAGAUUGCGGGUUUUUGAGGAGCUCCUGAGUAGUUCGUCGACACGCCCGAGGGGGCCGACAAGGCAUGCAACACCACGUAAGCUGGCAGGCUGCUAAGACGGCGUGGUGGUAGGGUCUUCACGAAGAUCUGCAUGCCACCACAUAGGUGCUUGCUGGGUUGGCCUGGAGGCCGCACGUUGCCACGCAGGUGCCUACCCAGCUGGUUGGGCUGGCGGCUGCAUGGGGACGGCGGUGGGGCCUUGGCAGACGUGGGCCAGGCUGUGGCCCCACAGGUGUCCUCGGCAAGGGUCUUGCCGGGGCCCUGGCAAGGGUCUUUCCGUGGCAUCGUGGUCGUCCCCAGCAAGGAUCUUGCUGGGGGUCUCGUGGAUUUCCUCGGCACAGAUCUUGCCGAGGAUCGUCGUCUUCUUAUUCUCAUCCGAUCUUGUGUUCUUAUGAUCUUCACAAACAUCUGUAAGCCACCAUGGAGGUGCCUCCCGAGCCUCGGUUCCAAUGUGGUUGAUGGUGUUGGAACCCUUGGGCUCAAGGGUGGCGCGCUCUGUUGGCAUUGGGCAAGUUGCCCCGGCAAGGCUCUUGCCGGGGCUGCGGAGGCCGUCCCGGUAAGGGCCUUGCCGGGGGAGUCCACCUCGCCCUCUUCUCUUUGUGUCUCUGUUCUUAGCGUUGUUCUGGUUGCCUUGUGCUUUUUCUCCCUCUGCCCCGCUAGGUAUGGUCGUAUGCGCGGCUCUAACUGUCCACGCACAAGUAAAGGGGUACAAAAGUGAGCCCCUACUUUUGUACACCGACACUAUGCAUGAUCAUGUAGUUGACAUCGUAUUUGUGGCGAAGCCACCAUUCAUCCUAUUUUUAUACAUGUCACUCUUGAUUCAUUGCACAUCCCGGUACACCACGGGAGGCAUUCAUAUAGAGUCAUAUUUUGUUCUAGUAUCGAGUUAUAAUUUUUGAGUUGUAAGCAAAUAAAAGUGUGACAAUCUUCAUUAUUAGAGCAUUGUCCCAUGUGAGGAAAUAAAAAAAGGGGAGAGAAAGGCCAAAUAAAAAAAGAACGCCCAAAAAAUGAGAGAAAAAGAGAGAAGGGACAAUGUUACUAUCCUUUUGCCACACUUUUGCUUCCCUUUAGUCCCGGUUCAUGCCACCAACUGGGACCAAUGAGGUGCCUAUAUAUACCCCCUCGCGUAAGAGCAGAGCACACUGCUUUGUUUUUUCUAGCCGAGGGAGUGAGGGCUUGGUGGUGCUCUAGCUCACCUCCUAUGCACACAAGGUGUUCGAUGGAAUGCCUGAGCCACACUACUUAAGCUUUCUCCUCUCCAAGCUCGACCUCCAAGCUCCAUUUUCCUAAAUAUUUGUCUAGGUUUAGCGGUUCGUCACGCCCCGUCCCCGUCUUCACCGCCGUCGAUCACCCGCCCGAGCUCAUCGCCGGCACCACCGUGGUGAGCCUCUUGUUCUUAUCUUCUUUCUGAAAGGAAAAAAAUUCUUACUUGUAUGUUUACAUAGAUACUUGUAUUAUUUUCUUACUUUUAUUAUUGCAUCUUAUAUAGUGCGAUGGUUUUGGUAUCCGCCCCUGUCGGCCCUCGUCCUGUCUAUGAUUCAGAUGUGGUAUAUAUAUUAUCUUUAUAAUUAUUGGUUCAUUUAUUGUUUAUGAAAAUUAUGCCGACCAACAUGACAUAGAUUUUAUUUAUGUAGGAUGUAUGUGAAUCGGAAAUUCCAACCGACCCUAUUGUCGAGAGGUUAAAUUUAGUUGAAGAAGAAAACAAUUUGUUGAAGGAAAAAAUAAAAAAUUGAGGAGGAGAAGAUGAUAUUGGAGUUGCAUGUUGCGGAUGUCGUCGAUGAGCACAAGAUCAAGAUGGAUGCAAUGCGCUUGAAGAUUAGAAAGAUUAGAAAAUAUGCCAUUCAUACCGAGGCUUGGUAUCAUUAUGCCGUUGGAUCAAUUGUUACCUUGGUUGCGAUUAUGAUCUCAUUUGUUUUCGCAUUGAAAUGUUUUACAUAGUUUCAAUGUAUGGUUUAAUUAAUUAGAUGCUCUGGAGAGCUAUAUGUUGUUAGAUGAGAACUAUGUAUGUACUUUGGUUUUAAUGUGAUGAUGAACUUCUAUUAAUUUGGACACUUAAUUAUAUAUAAUGCACGCAGAUGAACCGACAAUGGAUGUACGGUGACAGACACACCUCCGAGUACAUUAAGGGCGUGCAUGAGUUUCUCGAUGCGGCUGAGGCAAACAAGCAGAAUGGUUUUAUGUGUUGUCCAUGCACUGAAUGUGGGAAUACGAGGUCUUACUCUAACCAGAAAAUCCUUCACUCCCACUUGCUUUACAAGGGUUUCCUACCACACUAUAAUGUUUGGACGAGGCACAGAGAAAUAGGGGUUAUGAUGGAGACGGCGAAGAAGAAGAGUAUGAUGACAACUAUGUGCCCCUUGAAUACGGUGAUGCUGCAACGGGGGGAGCUGGUGAAGAUCAAGAGGAACCAGACGAUGUGCCCAAUGAUGUUGCAACGGGUGAAGCUGUUGAAGAUCAAGAGGAACCAGGCGAUGUGCCCGAUGAUGAUGAUCUCUGCCGGUCAUUGUCGAUGCAAGGACGCAAUGCGAAAGUCAAAAGGAGAAGCUGAAGUUCGAUUGCAUGUUAGAGGAUCACAAAAAAGGGUUGUACCCCAAUCGCGAAGAUGGCAACACAAAGCUCAGUACCGUACUAGAAUUGCUGUAGUGGAAGGCAGAGAAUGAUGUGCCUGACAAAGGAUUUGAGAAGCUACUGAAAAUAUUGAAGAAGAAGCUUCCAAAGGAUAACGAAUUGCGCGAUAGUACAUACACAACAAAGAUGGUCGUAUGCCCUCUAGGAUUGGAGGUGGAGAAGAUACAUGCAUGCCCUAAUGACUGCAUCCUCUACCGCGGUGCAUACAAGGAUCUGAACGCAUGCCCGGUAUGCGGUGCAUUGCGGUAUAAGAUCAGACGAGAUGACCCUGGUGAUGUUGACGGCGAGCCCCCCAGGAAGAGGGUUCCUGCGAAGGUGAUGUGGUAUGCUCCUAUAAUACCACAGUUGAAACGUCUGUUCAGAAAUGAAGAGCAUGCCAAGUUGAUGCAAUGGCACAGUGAGGACCGUAAGAAAGAGGGAAGUUGAGAGCACCCGCUGACAGGUCGUAGUGGAGAAAAAUCGAGAGAAAGUACUGGGAUGAGUUUGCAAAGGACCCAAGGAACGUAUGAUUUGCUUUAAGCGCGGAUGGCAUUAAUCCUAUCGGGGAGCAGAGCAGCAAUCAUAGCGCCUGGCCCAUGACUCUAUGUAUGUAUAACCUUCCUCCUUGGAUGUGCAUGAAGCGGAAGUUCAUUAUGAUGCCAGUUCUCGUCCAAGGCCCUAAGCAACCCGGCAACGACAUUGAUGUGUACCUAAGGCCAUUAGUUGAAGAACUUUUAUAGCCGUGGAAUGGAAACGGUGUACGUAUGUGGGAUGAGCACAGACAGGAGGAAUUUAACCUAAAGGCGUUGCUGUUCAUGACCAUCAACGAUUGGCCCGCUCUCAGUAACCUUUCAGGACAGACAAACAAAUGAUACCACGCAUGCACGCAUUGUUUAGAUGACACUGAAAGUAUAUACCUGGACAAAUGCAGGAAGAAUGUGUACCUGGGCCAUCGUCGAUUUCUUCCGACCAUCCAUCAAUGUCGAAAGAAAGGCAAGCAUUUCAAAGGCGAUGCAGAUCACCGGAAGAAGCCCGCCAUGCGUAUCGGUGAUCACGUACUUGCUAUGGUCAAUGAUUUACACGUAAUCUUUGGAAAGGGUCCCGGCGGACUAGCUGUUCCGAAUGACGCUGAGAGACACGCACCCAUGUGGAAGAAGAAAUCUAUAUUUUGGGACCUACCCUACUGGAAAGACCUAGAGGUCCGCUCUUCAAUCGACGUGAUGCACGUGACGAAGAACCUUUGCGUGAACCUGCUAGGCUUCUUGGGCGUGUAUGGGAAGACAAAAGAUACACCUGAGGCACGGGAGGACCUGCAACUUUGCACGAAAAAGACGGCAUGCCUCCGAAGCAGUAUAAAGGUCCUGCCAGCUACGCUCUUACGAAAGAAGAGAAAAAAAAUCUUAUUUGAAUGCUUGCUCAGUAUGAAGGUCACGACUGGCUUCUCGUCGAAUAUAAAGGGAAUAAUAAAUAUGCCAGAGAAAAAGUUUCAGAACCUAAAGUCUCAUGACUGCCACGUGAUUAUGAUGCAACUGCUUCCGCUUGCAUUGAGGGGGCUUCUACUGGAAAACAUCCGAUUAGCCAUUGUGAAGCUAUGUGCAUUCCUCAAUGCAAUCUCUCAGAAGGUGAUCGAUCCAGAAAUCAUACCAAGGCUAAGGAGUGAUGUGGCGCAAUGUCUUGUCAGUUUUGAGCUGGUGUUCCCACCAUCCUUCUUCAAUAUCAUGACGCACGUCCUAGUUCAUCUAGUCGACGAGAUUGUCAUUCUGGUGCCCGUAUUUCUACACAAUAUGUUCCCCUUUGAGAGGUUCAUGGGAGUCCUAAAGAAAUAUGUCCGUAACCGCGCUAGGCCAGAAGGAAGCAUCUCCAUGGGCCAUCAAACAGAGGAUGUUAUCGGGUUUUGUGUUGACUUCAUUCCUGGCCUUAGGAAGAUAGGUCUCCCUAAAUCGCGGUAUGAGGGGAGACUGACUGGAAAAGGCACUCUUGGAAGUGACUCAAUAAUAUGCAGGGACAGAUAUUCUUGGUCUCAAGCACACUACACAGUUCUACAGAACUCUACCUUGGUGACCCCGUAUGUCGAUGAACACAAGAACAGUCUGCGCUCCAAACACCCGGAGCAGUGCGACGACUGGAUUACAUGUGAACACAUCAGGACUUUCAGCAGUUAGUUGGAAACACGUCUCAAAGGUGACAACACUGCUUGUGAUGAGCUGUACUUGUUGUCCAGGGGACCAUCUUUGACUGUAUUGACUUACAAAGGAUACGAGAUAAAUGGGAAUACAUUUUACACGAUCGCCCAAGAUCAAAAGAGCACCAACCAAAAUAGCGGUGUCCGCUUUGAUGCAGCAAUCGAGAGCGGGAAGGACACAUAUUAUGGUUACAUAGUGGACAUAUGGAAACUUGACUAUAGACAUGAUUUUAAGGUCCCUUUGUUUAAGUGCAAAUGGGUCAAUCUGUCAGGAGGCGGGGUACAGGUAGACCCAUAGUACGGAAUGACAACAGUGGAUCUGAAAAAUCUUGGGUACACUGACAAACCGUUCGUCCUAGCCAAUGAUGUGGCAUAGGUUAUCUAUGUGAAGGACAUGUCUACCAAACCGAGAAAAAGAAAAGAUAAGGAAGCGAAUACAUCAUACGAUGAGCCAAAGCGCCACAUAGUUCUUUCAGGAAAAAGGGACAUCCUGGGAGUGGAGGGCAAGACAAACAUGUUUGAAGAUUACAAAAAGUUUCAUGAAAUUCCUCCCUUCAAUGUCAAGGCUGACCCAAGCAUCCUGAUAAACGAUGAAGAUUAUCCAUGGUUACGGCGCAAUAAGCAAAUGACACAAGCGAAGAAAAAGUGAAGACUUUCUCCUGCAACUAUUAUGAUGAUACCAUGCCAACUUUGUAACACACGAGUAUGCUAUGCCAACUUUUUCAGAGUUCAUUUGAAAACUAUGAAUUUAGGUCGAAUUUUCUCUAUAGCUGCAUCUAUGUUCAUUUUUUAGUAAAGUUAAUCACAAACUUGUGAUUCACACAAAUUUCAAAGAAUUCAAAUUUUAACUAUUCAAAUUUGAAAACUAAUGGCACUAACAGAAAGUUCAUAAUUUUUCUAAAACUAAUGGCACUAACAGAAAGUCUAUAAUUUUGCUGACCUAAAAGCAAAAAGAAUUAAAAAAUAAUGCAAAAAACAAAAUAAAAUAAAUAAUACAGAAAACAAAACAAAAAAACUGGGAAAAAAAUAAAAAUAGCAACCAUAAGUAUUUUGUUGUAAGUAGAAACAAAAUAAAAUAAGUAAAGCAACAAAGAAAACAAAAAAACUAAAAAAGUGUUUUCAAAUUUGAAAACUAAUGGCACUAACAGAAAGUUUAUAAUUUUCUAAAACUAAAAGCAAAAAGAAUUAAAAAAUGAAGCAAAAAACAAAAGAAAAUAAAUAAUGCAGAAAACAAAACAAAAAACUAGAAAAAAUAGGGCUCGCCCCUGGCCCAUGACCAUUAGUCCCGGUUUGUGCCACAAACCGGGACUAAAGGGUUGGUCCUCGUUGCGCUCAGAGUUUAGUCCCACCUCGCCAACCGAAGGGCGCCCACACCGGUUUAUAAGUCCGUCCCUCUCUGCCUUGUUGAGCUCAUCUCAAAGUGAAAAUAUAUGGCCCUAUAUAUACAGGGAAUUUGACCUAAAUUCAUAAUGAAUUCCUCUGAAAUUCAUAGAAAUUGAUUAUGAAUUUAGGUUGCAUUUUCUCUAUAGGUGCAUCUAUGUUCAUUUUUUAGUAAAGUUAAUCACAAACUUGUGAUUCACACAAAUUUUAAAAAAUUCAAAUUUAAACUAUUCAAAUUUUAAAACUAAUGGCACUAAUAGAAAGUUUAUAAUUUUUGUGACCUAAAAGAAAAAAGAAAUCACUAAAAAACUAUANNNNNNNNNNNNNNNNNNNNNNNNNNNNNNNNNNNNNNNNNNNNNNNNNNNNNNNNNNNNNNNNNNNNNNNNNNNNNNNNNNNNNNNNNNNNNNNNNNNNNNNNNNNNNNNNNNNNNNNNNNNNNNNNNNNNNNNNNNNNNNNNNNNNNNNNNNNNNNNNNNNNNNNNNNNNNNNNNNNNNNNNNNNNNNNNNNNNNNNNNNNNNNNNNNNNNNNNNNNNNNNNNNNNNNNNNNNNNNNNNNNNNNNNNNNNNNNNNNNNNNNNNNNNNNNNNNNNNNNNNCACAGUAAUAUUAAAUAAAGAAUGACUCAAAAUCAAUUUUUAUAGUAAAGUUAUUCAUAAACUAGUGAUUCACACAAAUUUUAAAAAAUUCAAAUUUAAACUAUUCAAAUUUUAAAACUAAUGGAACUAACAGAAAGUUUAUAAUUUUUGUGACCUAAAAGAAAAAAGAAAUCACUAAAAAACUAUAAGUAUUUAGUUCUAAGUAGAAAUGAAAAAAUAAAUAGCAAAAAAAUGCCACCUACUGGGCCAGCAUGGCCUGGAUACGACUAGAAACCCAACCAUGGGCCAGGAUUCAGGCCCGCAGCAGUCCCAUUAGGCCCACAGGAAUUGAAGCAUCUCAUUAGGCCCGUAAGCCUGCAGUUCAGAGCAGUUCGAAAGGGAACACAGAGCAGGGCUUAUAAAUAGGUGCGGGAGCUCUUCAGCUAGCGAGGUGGGACUAAACUCCCACCACCGUGCCAGCGCAAGGCCAUUGGGCCUUUGGUCCCGGUUGGUGGCACGAACCGGGACUAAAGGGGGCAUUGGUCCCAGUUUGUGCCACGAACCGGGACCAAAGCCUUUGCUAUAUAAGAAACACUUGGGAAAUUUUCAAAUUUCCCUCGCCAGUUGCCCCCGACGAUGCCGCCAGGCUGCCCGUGCUCGCCGUUGCCGUUCGCCCCGCGCCCCUGCCCCGUGCUCGCCAUCGCCGCCCGCUCCUCGUCGCCGUCGCCCUGCCCCUGCCNNNNNNNNNNNNNNNNNNNNNNNNNNNNNNNNNNNNNNNNNNNNNNNNNNNNNNNNNNNNNNNNNNNNNNNNNNNNNNNNNNNNNNNNNNNNNNNNNNNNNNNNNNNNNNNNNNNNNNNNNNNNNNNNNNNNNNNNNNNNNNNNNNNNNNNNNNNNNNNNNNNNNNNNNNNNNNNNNNNNNNNNNNNNNNNNNNNNNNNNNNNNNNNNNNNNNNNNNNNNNNNNNNNNNNNNNNNNNNNNNNNNNNNNNNNNNNNNNNNNNNNNNNNNNNNNNNNNNNNNNNNNNNNNNNNNNNNNNNNNNNNNNNNNNNNNNNNNNNNNNNNNNNNNNNNNNNNNNNNNNNNNNNNNNNNNNNNNNNNNNNNNNNNNNNNNNNNNNNNNNNNNNNNNNNNNNNNNNNNNNNNNNNNNNNNNNNNNNNNNNNNNNNNNNNNNNNNNNNNNNNNNNNNNNNNNNNNNNNNNNNNNNNNNNNNNNNNNNNNNNNNNNNNNNNNNNNNNNNNNNNNNNNNNNNNNNNNNNNNNNNNNNNNNNNNNNNNNNNNNNNNNNNNNNNNNNNNNNNNNNNNNNNNNNNNNNNNNNNNNNNNNNNNNNNNNNNNNNNNNNNNNNNNNNNNNNNNNNNNNNNNNNNNNNNNNNNNNNNNNNNNNNNNNNNNNNNNNNNNNNNNNNNNNNNNNNNNNNNNNNNNNNNNNNNNNNNNNNNNNNNNNNNNNNNNNNNNNNNNNNNNNNNNNNNNNNNNNNNNNNNNNNNNNNNNNNNNNNNNNNNNNNNNNNNNNNNNNNNNNNNNNNNNNNNNNNNNNNNNNNNNNNNNNNNNNNNNNNNNNNNNNNNNNNNNNNNNNNNNNNNNNNNNNNNNNNNNNNNNNNNNNNNNNNNNNNNNNNNNNNNNNNNNNNNNNNNNNNNNNNNNNNNNNNNNNNNNNNNNNNNNNNNNNNNNNNNNNNNNNNNNNNNNNNNNNNNNNNNNNNNNNNNNNNNNNNNNNNNNNNNNNNNNNNNNNNNNNNNNNNNNNNNNNNNNNNNNNNNNNNNNNNNNNNNNNNNNNNNNNNNNNNNNNNNNNNNNNNNNNNNNNNNNNNNNNNNNNNNNNNNNNNNNNNNNNNNNNNNNNNNNNNNNNNNNNNNNNNNNNNNNNNNNNNNNNNNNNNNNNNNNNNNNNNNNNNNNNNNNNNNNNNNNNNNNNNNNNNNNNNNNNNNNNNNNNNNNNNNNNNNNNNNNNNNNNNNNNNNNNNNNNNNNNNNNNNNNNNNNNNNNNNNNNNNNNNNNNNNNNNNNNNNNNNNNNNNNNNNNNNNNNNNNNNNNNNNNNNNNNNNNNNNNNNNNNNNNNNNNNNNNNNNNNNNNNNNNNNNNNNNNNNNNNNNNNNNNNNNNNNNNNNNNNNNNNNNNNNNNNNNNNNNNNNNNNNNNNNNNNNNNNNNNNNNNNNNNNNNNNNNNNNNNNNNNNNNNNNNNNNNNNNNNNNNNNNNNNNNNNNNNNNNNNNNNNNNNNNNNNNNNNNNNNNNNNNNNNNNNNNNNNNNNNNNNNNNNNNNNNNNNNNNNNNNNNNNNNNNNNNNNNNNNNNNNNNNNNNNNNNNNNNNNNNNNNNNNNNNNNNNNNNNNNNNACAUCCCACAGUAGUGUCCGACACCGACGGCCACAUGUAUCUCACACCGACGAUACUUCCUAUUUAGGGUUUCCUCUACCGCUCGGCGACCCUCGACGACCCUCAUUCCCGAUAAAAAGAAGAGGAAGAAGAAGAAAAAAAAGAGGAGAAGAAAGAAUAGAGGCCUCUAUUCUUUCUUCUCCUCUUUUUUUUCUUCUUCUUCCUCUUCUUUUUUUAUCCUUGAAGCGUUGUCGAGGCCAACCCAAACCCUAGAGAAGCAGCAUUGAGGCCACUAAUUAAUAUUAGUUCUACGUUUGCCACUAAUAUAUCCAUCUGUCAUGUUUGAAUAAUAAUUGCCAUGUUGUAAAUAUUUGUAGAAACUAUGGACACCGCCCGAGACGAAGUACAAGAAGAGUUGUUGGGGGACAUAAUCGCACGAGGAAGUGAUGUCGUCUGCUCAUUAUUUCUCAAUGACACCGAUGGUCUAGAAGCAGCUGGCUAUGAUUAUGAUGGCUCCGGUGACCCAAUGCCCGUGCAAGAAGGAGACCGUGAGGACGGCUCCGGUGACCCAAUGCCGGUGCAAGAAGGAGACCGUGAUGACGGCUCCGGUGACCGAACUGAGUCUGGCUAGGUAUAUAUAUUAGUUAAGCCUGUGCUGACUAGCUAAUUGAUGCAUUCAUUGUUUUGGUAUGUACACAUAUUAAUUAAGUCUUUGUUCUUUUUUCUAGCCCUCCGGAUCGAGCACAACUUCGGUAAAGAGACGAGGCCCGAAGAAAAAGUUGAGCUCGGAUGAAAGGUUUGAGAUCAUAGCAAUCGCGCCCGACGGCCAACCGAUUGAACCCAUUCGGACAAAGAACGCAUUUGUUGCUCAGUGCGGGGUUCUGGUUAGGGACAAGAUCCUGAUCAGCAUCCAGCAAUGGUUAAAGCCGGCUACAGAAGACCCUGAUGUGUCUUAUGUCAAUGAUAUGCAGAAAAACGAUCUUUGGACUGAGCAGAAGUCAAAUUUCACCCUAUCGCCAGAGGAUGAUCCGGAGAAGCUAGUUAAAGAGCAAUUAAUCAAGUAUUUUGCUCUUAAGAGGAUGGAAGACCUAUUCAGGAGGUGGAAGAAUGAGCUGAAUAAGUUUGUCCAUAAAAAAGAGACACCAGAAUUCAAGGGCAGAUAUGAGAAGAUCAGAGAUCACUGGCCCGCAUUUGUGGCCCACAAGACAUUAGAAAAGAGUAAGAAGAUGUCGGCGACAAACAAGCAAAAUGCCGCGAAGAAGAAGCAUCACCAUCGCACGGGGUCAGGUGGCUACCUCGUAGCCCGGCCUAAGUGGGCCAAGACUGAGAAUGAUCUGGUUGAUAAAGGGAUCGAACCAGAGACAAUUAACUGGCCAGACCGUUGCCGGACUUGGUUCUUUGGGGCUGGCGGAAACUUGGACCCUGUAUCAGGGAAGUGCAUUUGGACGGACGAGCAAAUGGAAAUACCAGUCAAGAGGCUUAAGCACUAUAUCGAAGCAGCGCAGCAAGGGACAUUCGUUCCAGACAGAGAGAACGGCGAGCUCACAAUGGCCCUCGAGAAUCCUGAGCACCCUGGACGGACACGAGGCACGCCAGGCUCCAUUCCGUGGAAGGCUGGGUUUCCGGACACAGGCGGUUACAAAUGCCACGAGAGGAGGAAGAAAGUGGAGCAGACCCAACUGCAAGCGUUGCACUCUAGGGUACAAGCGAUAGAGGGAACGAGAAGCAAAUCGCAGCAAAAGAACUGUCGAAGCUUCCCCGAAGUUACCCCGCCAUCUCAGCGGAGAAGCAGUGUGGCUUCCACCGAGCUGCUUCAGCUGGAGCAUGUCUUGACGGCUCCUGCCAGCUAUCCCAUGGGUUCUAUCAUGGAGUCUCAAAAUUGCCACCUUAUGACGCAAUGGAUUAAUAUGAAGGUCAAGGCGACUGUUGGCUCUGUUUUUCCUACUGAACCCGGCGCAACUUUUCACUGCCGGCCGAUUCCAGAAGGAUAUGCUAGGGUGAUGGUGGAUGAAAUAACAGAGGGAUUUGAGGACCUCCAGCUUGACCACCCUAGUGGUGAAGGGGAGACUCGGCUGAGUUCUGCUCUGAAGACUACAUGCCUAUGGCGGAAGGAGCUCAUCAACCUUCCGAACUGGACGCCUCCGCCUCCUCCUCCUCCUCCGGCGAGUCAGGGCACUCUGCCUCCUCCACCGCCUCCUCCUCCGGCGAGUGACGAUCAGGGCACUCGGCCGGCUCCUUCUCCAGCGCGUGGCGGCACUCCACCUGCGCCGGCGUGCCCGAGCAGCCAGCCUCCUCCUUCUCCACCUCGUCUGCAAGGGCGGAAGAGACCCACCGCCGCUCCGGCUGCUCUGGCGCGUCGUAGUCCUUCUCCUCCGCCUCGUAAGCAAGUAAAGAAGACAGCCGCUCCGUCUGCUCUGCCGGCGUCUAGCAGUACACCCAGAGGCGGGAGGACAUACAGAUUCAGUCCUUCUCUGAAGACUCCAGAGAAAUUACCAUACGAGAGGACCCCAGAGGAGAACGCCGAGAUCGCGCGAGAAGAAGUGAGGAGCUUCUUUGAAGGGGUGAAAGCAAAGAAACAUCCACCUCCGGAGGAGAAGGUAGAUCCGGUGAAAGCGAAGCGCACUCUGGCUGCCCUCACAAAACCACCCAAGUCUCCGCCGAAAGGAAACUAUGAGUGCAUUAUUGGAAAGGAAUUUGCCAAAGUGGAGCGAUCGGGAAGUACUGUCAGUGAUCAAUGGCUGAAAGAACGGCGAACAAGCGAAGCAAUCGUGCCCCCCGCUCAAGGUGCCUAGCGACAUCGUCGCUAAUGAUCCGAGGAUGGUGCCUGGUUAUAGCAAUCUUUGAGAUUACCUGCCCGACAAUGUACAUUAUGAUUUCAUGGAGGUGCAGAUACAAAGAUACGAGUACGGGAAGCCUCUCGUCAAAGAUGAAAGAUCUCUAUCAACGAUGAUGCGAAGAUUGCAUGAUUGGUACUUAAAAAUCUGCAGAGAGUCUGGGGGAGGAAUACUUUGUAUGUGAGAGUUAAAAAAGAGCAUGACCUCGUUGGAAUUGAACUGUUGCCUGUUCCAUUUGAGGAGUUCUUUCAGUUUUACAAUCAAUUGGCCCUCGGUAAAGCAACGGUCACCUGCUACUGUCUGUAAGUAGUACUACUUCUGUCAUUAAGUCUCUCUAUAUAGCUCAGCUCUUUCAUUGCAUGUAUUUAUAAUUAUCCUGACUAUAUUAUGCAGAUUGAAGAUCGUCGAAUUGAAGAAAAGACAAAUCGAUGAUAUUGGGUUCAUUAUCGCAAAUCUCAUAGAUGCAACUGAGGUUAAAUUUCAUGCCGCAGAUAUCGAGGCCAACUUGCUACGAUCGUUGGUAAUAAAUGAAAACAAAGAUAUAAUACUCUUUCCUUACAACUUCAAGUGAGUGUUACUAUCUUGUGCAUAUUCGAUUUCCCUUAUAUAUUAGUCAAGGUUAUAGUAAUGUAAUUGAUGAGUUAUGCAUGCAUGUGCAGUUUCCACUAUAUUCUCCUAGAGAUUAAGCUUGAGCAGGGACUAGUAACCGUCUUAGGCUCGAGACGAAAAGAUCCGCAGGACUAUGCGGACAUGACUCAAAUGCUCGAGAAGUAAGUUAAAUCGAUCAUUAUCCACCAUAUCAGCAACUUUGUUCAUUUCCUGAUAUAUCAAGUAAUCGUUUUCUUUGUCUGGCAGGGUUUGGAGAAAAUUCACCAAAAAAGCUCCGGGACUGCCGAAGAAGCUGCAAUUUAGACACCCGAAAGUAAGUACUAUAGUAGCAUGUUCCGCGCAUCUCCUAGUGAUUCAAGCGCUAGUUUCAUCAAUACCAUUUGGCAUUCUUGCUUAUCAGUUUGAUUGACCUCUAUUUCUUGUAAAGUGGUUGUGGCAGGAACAAGGGAAUGAUUUCUGUGGAUACUACGUUUGCGAGUCCAUCCGCCACACGACUGUGAGCGGGGCUACUCUGACGAACAAUAUGAAGUGCGUAAAUAACAACAUUCACAAUUUUAUUUUAUUACCAUCAUUUGUGUUGAGUUUCAUUCAUUCAUAUAUAUAUAUAUAUAUAUAUAUAUAUAUAUAUAUAUAUAUAUGUAUUGACCCCCUUCUUCAAAUUAGAUGUUUCGGAAGCGGGAUGAACUCCUAGCACCAGCUCGCAUGCGAGCAAUUCAAGAGGAAUUGGCGGCAUUCUUUCUUGACCACGUGAUCGCUGAAGACGAAGAAUACUAUGUGGACCAUGCGUCCGUAUGUUAGGAGAUUAUAUUUGUAAGAGAUAAUUAUUGUAUAUAUGUAGCUAGUAGUGUCGGAUAGAUAUACGGGAACUUGUUGUUCGACCAAUCUCUCGGAGAAGGAUAGGUGGUCGAUAUCACUUCUCUCUGUAUGCAUAUAUGUUCAUGACGAUUUUCUGUUUCCUUCGUUUGCUUACUAGCUAGCUAGCGUGUCUAGUCCUCUCUAUACGUAUGUAUAGUACGUAGCGUCGAUCAAGCACGGACAUAAGAGAGGACACUUCUCUCUAUUAAUUAUAGCUAGCUAACACAACAUAUGAAACACCUAAAUUAACCCCCCAAAACCCCCAAACCCCCCUUUAAAAAAAAACAAAAACCCCAGCCACAGAAAUGCUGACGCGUGGAUGCCUAUUGGUCCCGGUUGGUGCUACCAACUGGGACCAAAGGCCCUCCUGCCUGGGAUCCGUGCACAGGCCACGAGGAGGCCCAUCUGUCCCGGUUCUGGACUGAACCGGGACUAAAGGGACAGGGCAUUAGUAACGACCCUUUAGUCCCGGUUCAGGAACCGGGACCAAAGGCCCUUAUGAACCGGGACAAUAGGCCUGUUUUCUACUAGUGCCACCAUGUACUCCUACAUGGCCUCUCAUCGAUACCUUUACCAAAACAUGUUCAACACUUCACUCUCAUUACCGGACACAACCAUUUCACUCCAAUCCAUCACCCAGAUGAAUCGGACCUGACACAACUCUAAGUAUAGCAGGCAUAGCAUGGUAGGAACACAACAUGGCUCAAUCAACUCCUACACAUGCUAGUGGGUUUCAUCUAGUUACCGUGGCAAAGACAGGUCAUGCAGAGGAAAGGGGUUCAACUACUGCAGCAAACAGUAGUUUGAAACGUUGUUGUCUUAAUGUAGUAAAUGAGAGCAAGAGCGAGAAGAUGGUAUUGUAUCGAGAUGAUCAAUGGGGGUUGCUUGCCUGGAAGGGUGGUGGAAGUGUACUGCCCUUCGGUUGGAUAUAUUCACGGAUAUCCUCGGGUGUAGGACCUACCACGGAGAUCACAUCGGUAACACAAUCAAUACAUGGCAAUAUGCAACAAUAUGAUGCAUGCAUAUGACAUGGCAAAGUGAGUGUGUUGGGCUAAUGCAACUAAAACCAGAGGGGUUUGAGUCAAUUUGAACCAAAGGUUCAAAUUCAAACUCAAACUAUGAAUUUAUAAAGUGUGGUAUCAUUUUUUGAUCCAUACAGCAAGGUUAAGUUGCUUUGUCAUGCACGAAACCAAUACUAAUUGAUGGAUUGGAUUUUUCUGAUCAUUUUUCAUAUGUAAAUCUUUUCCAUCUAAGCUAUAGAUUAAUUUCUAUGAUUUUUUGAAGUUUGAACCUUUUUGGAUUUUCUGAUUACCGCGUCAUCAUGACGUCAGCAAGUUAACGGGGCAGCCCAGGUCAAACUGACCAGUGGGUCCCACGUGUCAGUGACCAACUAAAGUAACCUAAUUUAAUUAGUAAUAACCUAGGUUAAUUAGCAGGGCGGCCCCACAUGUCAGUGACCCAAGGGAGGUCAAACCCCUAUUCAACCGGGGCUAACACGCCAGCGCUUAGCCGUCGGCAAUAGUGGAUGCGGCGGGGCGCUUCGGGAAAGGGUUGUGGUGCCCCGUGCGCAGCGUAGCUGGGCUCGUUUGAGAGCCUAGACCAGCGUGCAUCGGGCGAUGAUGCCAGUCGGGCUUGAGGUGGCCAGACGCAACGGCGGGGAGCUCAGCUAUGGCGGCCGGAGCUCGGUUGCAGGCGCAGGCGACGAUGCGAUGCAUAGGUGGGCGAGCUAGCACGCUAGGGACGGCGUGCGCGAAGCGGCGAGUGCAAAGGAGAUGAUGGGUGGACCAUUUGGUCACCAAAGUCGUGUCGGCGGCGAUCGCAGCCGGUGGCGCGUGCGGGUGAGAGCGGCGGUGUGGCUACGCGGUGCGGCAGCGAGAACAGAGAGGGAAAGAAGGGGCAGCGGCUCACGGCGAUCGCAAUGGAGUGGACGGCGAGCUCGAAGGUGGUCGGAGCUGAGCGCGGUGGCGAGGGGGGUCUCCAGCGAUGGGCGAUGAACGUGGGUUCAAGGAGGCAUAUCCAGGGCAUGUGAGCGCUCGGGGCUCGGCUGGCUCGGUGUAGUGGACGGCAAGGAAGCUCAUGGGCACGUCGAGGCGACGAGGGAGCGGCGGUGGCUAUGGCUUCACGGUAGCGCGACAGUGGCUGCAUCGGCCACGGCGAUCAGAGGGCAAGAGAGAGAGGGCAGGGGGAGAGUGAUGUGUUGGGGAGCUCGGGGCGACAUCGAGGAGGUGUUUCGAUGCAUCUGCGCACUGUCCAGGCGACACAGGCGAGCAUGGAGCCGCACGGCGAGCUUGGGUGCGCAUGCGCUGUCCCCCUCUGCCUACUGGAAGAGGUAGGGGGUGACUGGCACCAGGCCAGGUCGGUUGGCCCAGUUCAGGUAAGUGGUCUGGGGGCCUUCUCUCUCUCUCUGCCAUUUCUAUUUUUCUUUUUUAUUUUCUGUCUUUAUUUUUGAUUUAGCACAAAUGCCAAACUUCUUUGUAAAAUGCUGAAAAUAUUUGUGGGCACUUGUGAAAUUAUUUCCAACAGCCCUCAAAUGCUUUCAAGAUUAUUUGGACAUUUAAAAUUAUUUAUAAGAUUUAAAUGUCCAAAUGUAAAUACUAUAUGGAUUAGUUUAAAAAUCCAGAGUGUCCUAGAAAAAUGUGCACCAUUUUUGGCAGAGGUUCUAUUCCAAUUCAAAAAUGAUGAACUUUUAUGAAGGGCGGUUUGCAUUCAUUGAAAUCAUUUUUUUAGUUGAACCUGGUAUUUUCUAGGGGUGCUGGGGUUUGUUGAUCCCCAUUUCAAGUUUAAGUAGAAUUUAAACAUGAUGCAUCACUCUAGCUAGUCCUAAUGCAAGCACUGACUAGGGUUGUGACAAGAGAAAUGGGAGAAAAUCAAGCAAAGAUUUUGGGAGUGAUCCUCCAUUAAUUAGGGCCCUUAAUUCUGGGAUAUGGGAGAAAAUCAACUGAAGAUCGCUACUGCUCGAUCCCCAUCCAACGUUGGCAAUGCAUUUGGAUUUAUCCCAAAAAGUUGUUGUUUUCCAGAUGCAAAUUUUGUUUAAUUUAAGCUAGUGAUAUUGGGGGGAGAUACUAUGUUAGUUUUCUAUGCAUGUUAAUGGGUACUAAGAAAUGGGAGGAGUAGAACCUUUCCUCACGAAUUAUCUUUAGGCAGAUAUUUUUGCAAUAGGAGGAUUCCCAUGUUUCCUUACAAACUAAGUUAAGUAAUAUUUAAAUUAUUUCCAUAUAUUGUUUCCAAUUAAGGAAUUUUGUAAAUGCUAGGGAAAUUGGGAAUUUUUUACCUACCACUGCUUUUCCUUCCACUACUAAGGAAUUGCCGAGCUAUAUAAAAAGGCACCUAGACCCGUAUGUUUUCCUCACCCAAUAAAAUUUAGUUCAUAGUGAUCUAGACAUGGCGAUCAAGCUUAUACCAGUAGCCUUUUUCUUGCUCAUCCUAGCCUUUGCUGAGUCCAGCGACAGGGGCGAACCUCCAUCUUCUCAUAAGUACUACUACUAGCUUUACCAAGUCGAGGGUCUCUCAUGUCUGAAUCACCUCAUAUAGUUUAUUAUUUCUUGUAGAAGAAAAUGCUUUUGAUACGAGCGCUUAUGCGGUUCAUUGGGAUCCACCUGCUGGUAAAUGCUUGUGCUACCUUGUCAAGUUGAGAAAUUUGUUAAUUGUGAGUCAACACCUAAUUUGUCAGUUACUGCAGAGGGAAAUAGUUUUGGUGAAAGUGCUUAUGCGGUUCAUUGGGAUCCUCCAUCUCGUGAGUAAUUGUGCUACCUUGCCAACUCGAGAAGUUUGUUAAUUGUGAAUUAACUCAUCGGUCAUUAUUUCCUCUAGAAAAAGAUGGCUUUGGUGAAAGUGUGUAUGCGGUACAUUGGGAUCCCCCUUCAAGUAAGUACUUGUGCCACCUUCCCAUGUUGAUAAUGUAUUAAUUCUGAAUAAGCUCAUAGUUUGUUAUUUGCUGCAGAAGAAGGAGGUUCUGGGGCAAGUCCUUAUAAGGUGAAUUGGAGCCCAGAAGAUGCACCUUCCAGUAAGUACUUGUGAUACCUUACCAAGUCGAGAAUGUGUUAGUUUUGAAUGAAAUCAUGGUUUGUUAUUCCUAUAGAAGAAAAAGGUUUUGGGGCAAGUGCUUAUGCGGUACACUGGGAUCCAGAUCAUCCACCAUCUCGUAAGUACUUCUCCUACCUUACCAUGUGAGAAUGUGUUAAUCCUGAACCAAAUCAUAAUUUUUAUUACCUUCAGAAGAAAAGGUUUUGGGACAAGUUCUGAUAAGGAGACUUGGAGCCCAGAAGAUGCACCUUCAAGUAAGUACUUGUGCUUCAUUAGAAAGUGAAGAAUGUCUUAGUCCUGAAUCAAUUCAUGAUUAUUUAUUUCCUAUAGAAGAAAAAGUAUUUGGUUCAAGUGCUUAUAAGGAACUUGGAGCCCAGAUGAUGCACCUUCUGGUAAGUAGCUGCGUACCUUAGCAAGUGGAGAGUUUGUUCAUUCUGAAUGAACUCAUAGUUUGUUUGUGCCCCCAGAAGAGAAAGGAUUUGGUGCAAGUGCUUAUGCAGUACAUUGGGAUCCAGAUCAUCCACCUGUUGGUAAGUACUUGUGCUACAAAUCUUAUCAACUUGAGAUUGUGUUAGUUCUAAAUCAGCUCAUUGUUUGUUAUUUCCUGCAGAAAAAAACCGCGCCUGACAGCAAUAGCCAUGUGUCAUAUGAACACAUCUGAUUGGGACAUGCGGUGCUCUGAGCUGUUGGAUGGAGAGCAUGGCUAACCUAUUUGGCACUACAUGCCCACCAAUUACAUCAUGUUCUACUAGAUAUAUUUAAAGUUCAUGCUCAACUAUGUAAUCUUGUUAUCUCAUCAAUAAAGCAUGUCGAUUGGAUGGAUGUUUGUUAAAAAAACUAAUCACCACCAAAAUCUGGG
rnacentral:lncRNA from 1 species